GGUCAGGACCUUCGUAAUUCAAUCUGUUCUUCCAUAUGGCACAAUAGAGGUGAGUCACCCAUCAUAUGGUACUUUCAAAGUAAAUGGCCAUCGUCUCAAACUUUAUAAUGGUGAGAAUUUCAAAGAUGAUGGAGAGGAGCUACGACUCCACAAAUUGCCCUGAAUAAACCAACAAGGUAAUAGUCGAGCUUAGACUAUAAACAAGCGCUUCUCGGGAGGCAACCCAAGUACUAACGGUUUUAAAUUAUUUAAAUUUCAAGUUUUAAACAUUUAGGUCACUAACAGAGUAUUUGAAGCACAAGUUCCCAACUCCACGGAAACACAACCGUGCUUAAGGCCGUGUGACCAACACAGACGGAAACACGACCGUACGAUACGGCCAUGUGAAAACAGGGUAAAAGUUAUCUUUCCCAACACAGGAUGUGAUAAGUGGCCACAGGCGUGCGACCUAGCCAUGGUCAAAUCUGCCAAACGAACAUGGGCGUGCGACACGCCCGUGUCUAGUACCCGUAGAUGACACUGCCAAAAUGACACGGGCGUGCGAAGACCUACACGAACGUGGGAGAAGUGAACCACAUCACACACGGUCGUGUAAUAUGAUCAUGAAGACACAUGCCCUAUACACACGGGCGUUUCCAAAGGCCAUGUGACGACAUCUCAUUUCGCGACAAACACGGGCGAGACACGAUCCACACGGGCGUAUGAACCGGCCACGACACUUAAAAAAAUUAGGUUAUCUAUCCUAUUUUAUUUUAUUUUUUUAUUUUAUUAAUUUUUGAAGAUUCUUUUGUUUUUAAACACGGCUUAUCUUUAUAAUUGCUACCAAAUUAUUUCCCCAAUCCUCCUAUUGUUCUUCAGAAUCAUAUUUGUCCUCUAGCUUUAUUUCCAACAACUCGCUCUUGCUAAUCCAGGAUUCCAUGCAUUUUUAACUCAGGAAGUUUCACUUCUCUCCCUCUCUUAUUCUUAUACUCUAAUAUUAGUCUUUGUACAUUGAGGGCAAUGUACGUCUUAACUGUGGGGGAAUAUUUAUUUCAUUAUCAUAAAAAUCCCUGAAUGACUGCCUUGUUCUCUUGAAAAGCUCUCAUAUCAUAUUUAGGAUAAAUUUUGAUUGAUUUAUGAUUUUUGUUGAUAUAUCUUGAAUUAAAACAUAGGCAAUUAUGCAUUGAUUGUUUAAACUUUAAGACAUUAGAGAAUCAAGCAUGAUAAGUUGAUUUUUAAGAAUUUAAAAUCUUAGGUUGUUUCCCUAAAGUUUAGGUAUUACUUUGAGUUGGAAUUCACAAGUUUUAAACAUCAAAAAGCCAUAAUUUUUGUGAGAUUUUUUAGCCUUUUGAGCAUCUAUUAAUUCUUUCAUGCUCACAUUUAUUAUUGCUUUGAGUGCGUCAGUAUUGAACUGUUAUUCUAGAACUUGCUUGAUUAUGCAUGUCGAGACCACACCAUUUGAUUUGAUAUGUCAAAAUGAUUAAGGCACUUAGGAUUAACCCACUCAUGCCAUGAAAAUCCUACCUCCAUGACUAACCCCUAGUAAACAUCCUUGAGCCCAACAAAGCCAUUCCUUGUAUUAAUCUUAAUAUUAACCCUUAACCCAUUAUUGUUGAAAUCCCCUAAAUUAAUCCCUAUUUUUUGUCGAGAUUUGAGUUGAAUAAAUUGCUUAGCUAUGUCUUGUUAUUAAUAGUUAGUCUAUGUUAUUUACCUUGUUCUAAAAAAAACUAUGUAUACACAUUAGUAAUUCCACUUUUUUUUAGAAGAAGCUCGAUUGUACACAAGUGAUGAUUAACUUCUUUUCUAGUUAGGCAAUUUUUCAAUUCAAUCUCGAUUCUAACCCUUUCUUUCAGCUUGUGACCACACCACCUAACCAAGCCUCAUUACAACCCUCUAAAGACCUUUUGAUUGAAGUAUCAUCUUAAAUUGUAGUGGUGAAGAUUUGAUUUUCAUGCAAGCCUAUGGUAAUGACUUUUCAUUAUUGGCUAUUGAGUGCUUCAUUUAUUGUCCUUAAACACCUCGAGUGAUUUGAGUGAAUCUUUAGUGAGGAUAUUCAACUCUAUGAUAUUCUUAAUCAAAGGUAAUUACUUAGACGAGGGGAGACACCUAUGUUGCAUGACUACAUGCUCAACUUGGAAUGUUUGAAACUUUUAUGUUCUUUUAGUUGAAUUCUCAAUGUGUGAUUACUUAUGGGUUAUUUUGAGAUAUUAUCGAUAGAAAUUAUAAGUUGAGAAGAAUUUAUUUUGAUUAUGAGUUGAGAAUUUUGCUUGAGGACAAGCAAAUGCUUAAGUGUGGGGGUAUUUCAUAAACCAUAAUUUAUACAUAUUUUUACCCCAUGCUUAACGCAUUUUAUGGAUGAUUUCCUAUUAGAAUUGGUGAAUUCGAUGCUCCUAAUACUUUAAUUUCAUGUUUUAUACUCAGGAGAGCAUAGGAGAGCAAAAGGAACGAGAAACGAACCAAAAAUGGAGAAAAUGGUCCAAAGUACGAAAUCAACAAGGCCUGGGCCUCCUUACACGGGCAGAUCACAUGGCCGUGUCAAUUUGGCAGGCUCGAGCACGGCUUGAAGUAAUCGCACACGGGCGUGUCCCUGCCGAGACCAAGUUGAGUCCAAUUCAGAAAAGACUAAUUUUGAGGGCUCUUAGGCAUUCCAAAGCCUAUAAAUACACCCUAGUGGAGGAAGAAAAGGGAGACGGAGAAGAGGGAGUAAGGAAUUACUCCAAGGAAGCCGAUUGAUCCAUCUUAGAAGCCAGAUUCAUCAUCAAGACUGAAGAUCUCUCCUCAAUUCCCUCUUCAGGAGUUUUGGGUUUUCUUUAUGUUUUGAAUACUUUAUCAUUCUGAGAUGUUUUCUUAUUUAGUUAUGAACUAAAACACCUAAAUACCUAAGGGGAAUGAAACCUAAGACGAAUCUUGUUAUUAUUUUCUGAAGUGUAUGAUAAAUAUUUAACUUGUUCUUAAUUAUGUGUUCUUAAUUCUUGUUUUGAUAUCCCAGGAUACUGAUUCAGGAUAAGCUCUUAUUCAGAGGAGGAAUAGACCCUAUCUAAGAGUACAUUUUUCAUAAUUAAGCGGAGUUGAUUGCGCACCUAGACAUAGGGUGACAAGAUUUUGCUGGAUGAGGGUGAAACCUAAUAAGGGGAUCCAUAGAUCGAGUUAAUGCAACCCUAGAAUGUUAAUUAGAGAAAAGUCUUAAUUAUUCAAUCUAGGGAUUAGACGUUAUUAGUCUUGAAUAGGGAUAAUAACAUAACUUAGGGAUCUCUACGAAACAAGUUAAAUGAAUAAAUCGUCCGAUUUGGAGCCAGAAUAACAAGUACAGUCUAGGUGGAUUUUUCGUUAUGUAUUGUCUUAAUUCAGUCGAUUUUCCCAAAAGCAAUUCCCCAAUUCCAUUCUUUGUGAAUUCUUAGUUUAGAUAAUUAGUUAAUUAAAACAAAACCUCUCUAUUCUUAGGCUAGUUAAUAAAAAGACAGUCAUUACUAGUACUUUUAGUUCCUUUGGGUUCGACAAUCCAGUCUUGCUAAAACUAUACUACUAUUCGAUAGGUACACUUGCCUACAUCACGAUAAUAGUUAGUUCAAGAACGAGUAAUUAUAAAUAUUUAAAACCUAUCACGAAAUAACGCGAUCAAUUGCCACACCUUAACUUUAUGACUCGUCUGCGGUCGCAAUCAAUUAAUUAAGUUUUAUGUCAAUUCAAGCAGUUUCAGAUACUAAACCCAAAACCCCUUACAAAGCCCAAACAAGACUACAUACAUGCAUAUGGCCCACUAGGCCCAAUCUCAUUCUCAUGGCCCAUUAGGUCCAAAUCACAUUCGUAUGGCCCAUUAGGCCUAAAUCACAAUCGUAUGGCCCAUUAGGCCCAAAUCACAUUCUUAUGGCCCAUUAGGCCCAAAUCACAUUCGUAUGGCCCAUUAGGCUCAAAUCACAUUCAUAGUCAUGCUUUCAUACAACUUCUCAUCACUUACUAUCAAGUUGCCCAUUUUGCCUAUUUUGGGCCUACAGCCCAUCGGCCCAUUUAGCCCAUUCUGGCCCCGUUGGCCAAUACACGGUCCAAGUCCAUGGUAUCGCCCAUGGGGCCCCUGAUAACCUAUCGGUUUCCCCUUACGAGUGUUCGUGCACUCGCAGGUCUAUUAUAGCCACAAUUUUGGCAUUUCAGCAUUUUGGCUUUUCGGCAUUUCGGGAUUUGUCGAUCUACUGUGUGUGUGCAGUGUAUGUGCACACCUGGUAAUAUAGCAUCCUGUGAUCCCCCCUAGCCAUGAACCUACAAUCGAUAUCACUCAAUGAUUAACCACACAUACUUAUCGAAUACCUUGCCAAAAGCUGAGGUCUUACCUUAACCUUACCUGGAACGCCAAGCCUUAAUGGCUUUUUCUUGCUCACUAAUCACGAGCACUUCCUAGAUCUGCAUUAACCUUAUUGUUAAAAACAUAAUGGGUGACUUAUAUCCAACAUAUGUCACCCUUUCCCAUUAAAGCCUAUUCGGCCAACCUUUACCAAAAUGAAGAACACUUACCAAAGUUUCAACACUUAGGGAGCAAACCGGCAGAGAUCCAAAAGACUGAGGUUCGAUACUAAUCCUACCAAAACCGAUUCAGAAGGAGUGAGGGACAGGAGUAAUCGAUACUUAGCAAAACCAACUGAAAGAACAAAACACUUACACUAGAAUUGGCUGAGGUAGAAGGAGUAGUGGCAGCACAGAGGAUAUUCGGCUUCUAAGGUUUGUAUGAUGGAAAAGGUUAUUCGGCACAAAGUAAAACAGUAGUAGCAACCGUUUACAACCAGUGGUGAAUCAAAAAAGAAGUAUUGAGUAGGGGAAAGAAUGGAAAAUCGGCACAAAGUAAAGAAAGAAGAACAAGGGAUUUCGACUUUUUGAUCCUUGGAGAGAAAAAUGUUUUCUGGUAACAAGGAAAGGGAGAAUUUGGCAUUAGCCUGGAAUCCUCACAUUCGACACCUAUAUAUAGUCUAUAGUCGAAUUUCCUAUGCCAAAAUUCCUAAUUCGACUCCACCUCUUCUUCACUCCUCAUCUCCUAAUUUUUCUCCCUGAUAAAUCCCUAAUCCCCACCUCAAAUUUCUCCUCUUAUCACUCCCUACAGUGUUCAUAUCCAACGCCAACACUGACCAUCUCUUAAACAAAAAUAAAUCCUUCUUUUGAGCAAUGAGGGAUUCAAACCCCAAACCCCAUUGCCCUGUAUGUGACACCACUUGCCAUUCCACCACAAGGCUUUCUUGUGUCCAAUUCCUCCUUCAUUUAUUCAAAAGCUCAGCUACUUGCCAUCGGGGUUCUUUUAAGUAUUAACCUAUAAUUUCCUUCACCCUUAAGUUCGAACUCAAACCUUAACUAAGACCUAUUAUCACAUAAAUAAAACUUAACUAGGAAUAUUAAGCACACUUCUUAUCAAAAUCGAAAUAAGAAAAAGAAAAUUUGGGAUUUCGAGACUUUUGGGGCGUUACAAGUUCAAACGAGAUUUUUUUAUAUCACAUCUCUGUUAAGCUUGCUCGUAAUGUCAAUCUCAAUGUCCAUAACACUCAUCACUUACUCGUGGAGUAAUCAAAGCAUAACUCGUAAUAACAUUGAAGAAUUUUAAUUCACGUAAUACUCAACAUCAAAAAUAUAACAUAACAUCACAUUAUUUUAUAUGAACUUACCUCGGUACAAAAUGAUGAAAACGAGCCUAUUCUUCGUAAACCUUGUUUUUCCCCCGAUCAAAACCCGAAUCAUGUUUUUCUUGAUCUAUAAUGCCAAAUUUAACUUAUUUAAUACAUACAUUGUUUGAAUCGACCCAUAACACAUACUUUGAUAAAAUUACCUUUUUACCCCUAACUUUUUACUUAUUUACAAAUUGGUCCUUAGGCUCGUAAAAUGAAAUACAUGCAUUUUCUUUACUACCCAAGCCUAGCCGAUUCAUAUUCCUACUCUUAGCAGCCUACGUUUUUCUUUAUUUCACAUAUUUACUACCCAUUUUACAACUUUUACAAAUAGGUCCUUUACAUGCAUUUCCAUCAAAAAUCACUUAGUAAAAGAUGUUAAACACACAUCAAAAUUUUAUAUUCCUCCAUUAAAUAUCGAAAAUACAUGCAUGUCACACAUGGGUAAGUUUUUGAACAUGAACCCUAGCUUAAAAUAAGGGUAGAAAUAACUAGAUCAUGUUUCAAAGAUCUCAAAAACAUGAAGAACAUAAAAAACAGAGCUAAGAUGUACUUACUAUUGAGCUUGAAAAGUUGAAAAACCCUAUAUAUGGAACCCUUAGGAAUUUCAGCUAUGGCAUGGAGAAGAUGAGCAAAUUUUGCUUGAUUUUUCCCUUUUUUAUUCUUUUAUUAACUAAAUGACUAAAUUGCCCUUUAAUGCCUUUCUUUUAAAUUUUCCUUAGCAUGCCUACUUUUUUCUAGAAUUUUAAAACUUGGCCAAAUUACUAUUUAAGGACCUCUAGUUAAAAAUCCAUAGCAAUUUCAUGCUUAAAGCUUCUAGAACUCAAGUUUUACAACUUAUUCAAUUUAGUCCCUAACUUCAAAUUAGACACUUUAGGCAUAAAAUUUCUUCAUGAAAAUUUUACACAAACAUGCAUUCAUAUCAUGGAUCAUCAAAUAAUCAUAAAAUAAUUAUUUCUACUUCAUAUUUUUGGUCUCGAAACCACUGUUUUAACUAGACCCUAAUUUUGGGAUGUUACAUCUUAGUUGAUUUUUGAAUGUAUUGUUGUGUGAAUUGUUGUGUUGAAGUUUCGGAUUCACAAGGACCAUCUACAAGCUAGAAAAGGCUAGUUUUAGCUUUCAGCAUUUCGGCAAAAGCGUAGUGGUAAAUCUUUAGAUUAAUUGCUUGUGGACAUGAUUUAAUGCGUUAUUUGGGAAUUUAGUGGUACUAAACCCUUACUCUAAAUUUUGAGUGUAAGCUUUCUUGUACCCAGGUUUAUCUUGUGCGAUAUGUGCUUGUGUUAUUGUGAAAUUGUGAACUAAAAUGAGAUGCUAAAUAUGUGCUAUAUAUUUAUGAUUACUAUUGUGAAAGAGUAUAUGUGUAAGCAUGUCAUACAUGCUAAGUGACAGUGAUAAUAUUGUGCAAAUGAUACAAAUGUGCAGUGAAAGUAAUAAAAAAUCGAUAAGUAAUAUGUAUGUUUAAAUACAAAUAUUUUGACCUUGUGAUACUUGAGACCAUUGGAUAUAAUUGGCAUGCCAUAAGAUUGUGAGUACUCAUCAAUAUGUUUGAUAAAUCGUAAUUCAUACAUAUUUCUAUCUCAUGCUUAGCACAUUUUAUGGAUGAUUUAUCCUUAAAUUUGGUGAAUUCGAUGCUCCUAAUGCCUUAAUUUCAUGUUUUAUACUUAGGUGAUCAUAGGAGAGUGAAAGGAACGAGAUAUGGGCCAAAAACGAAGAAAAUGGGCCAACGUACGAAAUCAACACAGCUGGUCUUCCUUACACUGGCAUACCGCACGGUCGUGUCAAUUUGGCAGAAUCGAAGCACGACUCACAGGGGUAGACCACAUGCCCGUGCCUAUUUAACAGGCUUGACCACGGCCUGAAGUAAUCGCACAUGGGCGUGUCCUUGUCGAGCACAAGCAGAGUCCUAUUCGGAAAAUGUAACACCCCUUACCCGUAUCCGUCGCCGGAACAGGGUACGAGGUAUUAACAAAUUAUAGUAUAUUCUAUUAAAUAAAACCCAACAAAAAUAUGGCGUGCAAUUUGAUCAUGAAUCAUUAUAACAUAUGCCAUUAACAAUACAAACCAAUUUCAAAGGCUUCGUACAAAAUGAUUAGUUUGAUACUAUAAGUAGUAUUUUAUACCUAGACAAUUAUGACACAUAACAAAAUAACUAAGUCUGCUAUACAUGCCAUAUUUCAAAAUGUUGAGUUCAGAUACCAAGAGUAUUGAUAGUGCGGGCGGAUCUUCAACGAUCUCUAACUCCUGUGCUAGCUGGAUGACACUAUAAGACAAAGGAGAGAAAAGAAAGUAAGCUUAUAGCUUACUAAGUAAGUAUAUAAAUAACUGAUAAGGAAUCUAAUAUGUUUACAACAUAACUCAAUUAUAUCAUAUUUUUAAUUUUUUUACUAUUUACUCCGGUUUGAUCAAAGUGUCCCUCCUGCGUCAUAAUCACUAAAUAAAUCAUAACUCGAGUUAAAAAACUCCAAAUUCAAAUCCGUAAAAUUUCCCUAAAUCUAGACUCAUAAAUAUUCUUACUAAUAUUUUCUCUAGAAUUUUUGGUUCAGCCAAUUAGUACAGUUUAUUAGUUAAAAUUUCCCCCGUUACACAGCUCAACUGAUCUGACCUCUGUUAACUACGAAUUGAAUUUCUCUUAGUACACAAUUCAAAUAACCAUGAAACCUAUUUCAUUUAAAACUAGACUCAAUAAGGAAUUUAGGAAUAUAAACUAUAUUUCUUAAUUUGUUUUGUAGAAUUUUUAAUGAUUUUUCAAAGUUGGAACAGGGGAUCAUAUAGUCAUUCUGCACAAGUCACACACAAUUGUAAAUAUCUCAAAAUAUAGAAUUCCUUUGCUUGCUCUGUUUCUUUUAUAUGAAAAUAGACUCAUUAAGAUUUAAUUUCACAUCUCAUUCAACCUCGAAUUAAAUUUCUUCUAUUUUUGAUGAUUUUUAAAAAUCACAUCACUGAUACUGUCCAAAACAGUUUUAAUGCUAAUUUCACUCUUUCACACAUUCUUUGUACUAACCUCAUUUUAACUUAUAUAUAUAUCACAAAUCAUUUUCACUACAUUUCACACAUCACAAGUAUAGGCCCAUAACUACAAUGUCACCACAAAGCCAUCCCGUUGAACAAUUUGGAUUAAUCCUCGAUACUUGACGGUUUCAGCACACAGCCCCACAAUCAUAUUUCAUUUAAUUCGGCUCUCUUGUACACAUGGUGAACACUUAGUACCACUCAUGCAACCUAGACGAUUUGUCUCGUAGCUCUCUUGUCUACAUGGUGUCCUUCACUUGGAAUCACGCAUGCGACCUAGCUACAUUUAUCUCUCACGUAGCUCUCUUGUCUACAUGGGAUACAUCCCGUAUCACACAUGUGACCUAGCUACUACAUAGUAUCUCGUAGCUUUCUUAUACACAUGAUGUGCACUCGGCACCAUACAUGUGACCUAGCUACGCCCCCUCUAUUUUAUUCGAUCUUUCCGAAUGUUCAACCGGGAUCUCUCUCUAUUACUUAUUUCCAUUCUUCCAAUAGUCGAUUUAUACUUCAACAUCAUCUAAUAUAUAUAAUAGGCUGAAAUAUAAGAAUGUAAAUGAAAUUAAUGUAUUAUUUACGUACAAACUUACCUCGGUGCAAAAUAUGGGAAUUUUGCAAUUUAGUCCAAAACUUUCUCCUUCCCCCGUUCGAGGUCGAUUCCACGCUUUUCUUGAUCUAUAACAACAUAUUUAGUUCAUUUAACAAUCGAACUAUUUAUUUUAAUUCAAAAAUCACAUUAUACAAAAAUUACAUUUUUGCCCCCUAACUUUUACAAAAUUAUGAUUUUUCCCCAAGGCUCAGAAAUUUAAUUUCAGCCCUUAUUCUUAUGUUUAAUGACCUACUGAUCAUUUUUCUCUUCUAUGGAAACAUCAAAUUCUCACUCUAACACAUAGUUAUGAAUAAUAGGUAUUUUUAUCGAUUAUGCUGUUUUGCUCGUUUUCGUUAAAAAUCGCUUAGAAAAGAUCGUUCUCCUAACUUCAAACAUUCAUAUUCUACCAUCAAACAACACAAUACAUGCCUAUCAUUCAUGGGUAAAUUUUUAAGCAUACACCCUAACUCGAAAUAAUGGUAGAAAUAAGUAAAUCGAGCUACGAAGAUUUCAAAAAUGUGAAGAACAUUAAAAACGGGGCUUGAAAUCACUUACUAUGAAGCUUGAAAAUUGAAGAAACCCUAGCUAUGGAGGAGAGAAAAUUUCGGCAGCAACUAGUGAAGAUGAUGACCAAUUUUGUGUUAUUUUUCCCAUUUUAUUUCAUUUAAUAUACAAAUUACCAAAAUGCCCUUACUACUAAACUUUCCACAAAUUCCCUCCAUGUCCAACUUUUGUCCAUAACUUAGGAAUGGGUCAAAUUGCUAUUUAAGACCUCCUAGUUAAUAUCCCAAAACAAUUUCAUACUAAAAACUUCUAAAACACAAGUUUUACAAUUUAUUCGAUUUAGUCCCUAAUCUCAACUUAAGCGCUCAAUGCAUAGAAUUUCAUCACGAAAUUUUCACGAAAUCAUGAAAUCAUAUCAUAAACCCCAAAAUAAUUAUAAAACAAUUAUUUCUAUCUCAGAUUUGUGGUCACGAAACCACUAUUCUGAUUAGGCCCUAAUUCGGGUUGUCACAAUUCUCCCCCCUUUAGAGAUUUUCGUCCCCAAAAAUCUUACCGGUAAAGAGGUUUGGGUACUGUUUCCUCAUAGCUUCCUCAGGUUCCCACGUAGCCUCUUCUAUCCCAUGUCUGUGCCACAAUACUUUCACUAAGGCUAUACUUUUAUUUCUUAACUGUUUAAUUUCUCGAGCCAAAAUCUUUAUUGGUUCCUCCUCAUAGGUCAUAUCCGGUCGAAUCUCAAUUUCUGUUGGAGAAAUCACAUGUGAAGGAUCAUAACGAUAACGUCGCAACAUUGAUACAUGAAACACGUUAUGAAUUCUUUCUAACUCUGUCGGUAAGGCCAACCGAUAUGCCACUGGCCCAAUCUUCUCACUACUUUAGCCAUUUACUUUUACUGCAAUUUAAAUUUUAUUCUAAUUUUUAUUACUAAUUCUUCUUUUUCCCUUUUUCUGACAGGUUCUUAUAGUUUAUGACUAGAAGAAACCCUUCAGGACCAUUACUUUUUGACAGUGAGAUCGAUCGCACAAUUCGCAGAAACCAAAGAGAAAUAAGGCAAAGCUUAAGAUACACAGAGAACGAGAAAGAGGACGAUAUUCAAACCACAACUAACGAGAUGGCUGAAAAUCAAGAAAACCUGAUACCUCCUGCGAUUGCUGUUAAUCUAAUAAAUCAGAAUCCUGCUUCGCGCACUAUGUAUGAUUAUGCUUAACCGUCUUUAACAGGAACUGAAUCGAGCAUAGUUAGGCCUGCUGUAGCUGCAAAUACUUUUGAACUGAAACUUAACACAAUUCAAAUGAUAUAGCAAUUUGUUUAGUUUGAUGGUUUACAGGACGAGGAUCCCAACGCUCACUUAGCAAACUUUUUAGAACUAUGUGAUACAUUUAAAAUUAAUGGCAUUUCUGAUGAUGCCAUUCGCCUUCGGUUAUUCCCUUUUUCAUUAAAAACAAAGCUAAACAGUGGUUGAAUUCUUUACUGCGGGGGUCAAUCACUACUUGGGAACAAAUGACUGAAAAGUUCUUAUUAAAAUAUUUUUCGCUGGCUAAAAUGGCUAAAUUACGUAAUUAUAUCUCUUCUUUUGUACAAAUGGAUUUAGAAACACUCUACGAUGCAUGGGAGAGAUAUAAGGACCUUUUGCUAAGAUGCCCUCACCAUGGGUUACCACUCUGGCUAUAGGUUCAAACUUUUCAUAAUGGCCUAAAUCCUUCGACUCGACAAAUGGUUGACGCAGCUGCUGGUGGAACCAUCAAUAAUAAAACAGCUGAUGAUGCCUAUGAAUUUAAUCCAAGGUAGCCUGCCAAGCAACACUGAAUCUAAUCCAAGGAAGCAACUCAACGCAAUUUCCAUUCAAGAUGAGGAAGGGCUAGUGGCAAAACCAAGGCCAGAACUAGUGGUAAGCGAAGGUAAGAAUGAGGUAGGCCAAAACGAACAAAAAUCGGUAAGUCCAGAAUAUAAACUCGUGUGCUAUACCCCAAUGCGACAAGGAAAGACCGCUCAGGUGAAAAUUUUGGUAAAUUCCUUAAACUUUUAAAGAAACUACAUAAUAACUUACCGUUUAUUGAAGCACUUUCACAGAUGCCAAACACAAUCAAAUUGUUAAAGGAGCUUCUGGCAAAUAAACGAAAGUUAGAUGAAAGGUCGCAUGUGGAGCUGAACGCUGUUUGCUCAUCCAUUCUUCAGAAUAAGCUACCCAACAAACUAAAAGAUCCAAGGAGUUUUACGAUUCCUUAUUUAGUUGGUAGUUUAGAUGUUAAUAAUGCGUUGGCUGAUCUAAGGGCUAGUAUCAAUGUUAUGCCUUACAAAUUGUUUAAGCAACUAGGUCUAGGGAAACCCAAACAAACUAGGAUGAGCAUUCAAUUAGCAGAUAAAACUGUCAGAUUUCCUAGGGGUAUUAUUGAAGACGUACUCGUUAAAAUUGACAAAUUUAUAUUCCCAUUUGAUUUUUUUUGUUUUAGACAUAGAAGAGGAUAGUAACGUUCCUUUAAUUUUGGGAAAGCCCUUUUUAGCAACUGUUAGAACAAUUAUUGACGUUGGCAUAGGUGAACUCACACUUCGUGUAGGAGACGAAACAAUCACCCUUCAAGCUCGCAACCCGAACAACACAUCAAAAAUUGAAGGUAAUUGUACAAAUUGUUCCAGUAAGACUGAUCAUAAGUUCGAAGGACACACAUGAGCCAUGUUCAAUCCACAACAAAGAAUCUACCCAUGAAGAACGAAGGUUACGAAUCAAGGAGUUAGAUGAAUGGCUAACAUUUAAACUGAGAAAACACGAUAAACUAAAACUACGUCAGAAUGAGUGCCUCACCAAAUUAACUUAAGGUUGGAGAUAAAGUUUCAUUAGAUGCCGCAGAUCCUCAUUGACACUGCCAAACCGAAUGAAGAAAUUCCUCUUACGGUACUUAGCAUUUUCCCAUUUGGUACAGUCGAGGUAAGUCAUCCCAAAUUCGGCACCUUCGGCACCUUUAAGGUAAACAAUACCCGCCUAAAACCUUAUUUUGAUGGGAUUCAUAGCAGGAAUGAGGAAUAUAAACUCCUCGAACCACCAUGACCAUUCACCAGAAAGGUAAGUCGAGCUUAGACUAUAAAUAAAUGCUUCUCGGGAGGUAACCUGAGCACUAAAAAUAUUAAUUUCUUUAAAUUUUAGUUUUAACAUCUAACAUACUAACCGACUCAUGGAACGUAGGCUUUCUAAAGCACACACGGCCAGGCACACGGGCGUGCCUUAGGCCGUGUGAAAAUAGGGUGAAAUUUUCCCCAACACGGGAUGUGAUAAGUCACCACGACGUGCAUUAGGACCGUGGGCGAAUCUGCCAAAACAAUGCGGGUGUGUGACACGCCAGUGUCAUAGAAACGUGGUUAAACCUGAGAAAAUAGCACGGGCAUUCGCCAUGCCCGUGUCUAAAACCCGUGGCCGAACUUUUCAAAUUAACAUCGGCGUGGGCCUACAUACACAGGCUUGGGAGAAGCGAUCGAAGACAGACACGGCCGUGUGCACCCACAUGCCCAAGGAACACGGGCAUGGGCCAAAUGUCAGACGCGCCCAAACUCAAAAUUCACGAAUCACACGGGCAAAAAUUGGGGAACACGGGCGUGUCCUCUGGCUGUGUGUCUCAAAAUCUAUAAAUACCCUUCACUAUUCAUCAUCUUCUUCACCCAAAAUCCCUAACCCUAGCCGCUGCAAGUCCACAUGGCCUCUCUGCCAUGGCCAUGCGCCGCAUCCAACUCCAUUUUCGACACCCAUUCUCAUCCUUUUAGCAUUAGUUUACUCUUUUCUCUCUAUUUCCUUCAUCCCUUUUAAUAAUUCUAUGAUUCUUAUGGUUUUAUUUGGCAUAUUUUUUAUUUUUUUUCAUAGUUCUCACUAUAGUCAUGCUUAUCGUUUAUUCUUUGCCAUUUUAGUCAAUGCUUUCUGAUACAUUCAUUCUUUUCGUGUGUUCCCAUAAGAGUCUAGUUCAGUCAUUUUAUUUUGAAAAUAAUCAUGCUUUUAUUAUGUCAAUUGCUAUAUAAACUUCUAUCAUUUAGAUUAAACUACUGAGUAUUAUUGGUUGGACUGGUUAGUUUAACUAUAUUCAUGAUUACUUCUUAAGUUAAUUAUUUAUGUUAUAUUCUUUGUUCUUCUUGCAGGUAUACCAUCACAAGCUCACGUGGUAAGAAAACUGUCAUUCCCGCUUCGAAAAAGUAGAAAGAGGCGUCUUCCUCAGGCCCUACCGCGGAAAUUCACCACCCAUACCUCCAAUUUCCACCCGACAAUUAGGAGGAACUAUUCCAAAUUCUACGGGCCCAACCUUUAGGUGUGGGCCACUGCAUUGACUGGACAGUGCUUGAACAAGUCCAGUUGGCUGACAAUGUACGAGCACUCCUGACAACCGACCCAUGAGACCUCUUCUUUGCGAUCAUCGAGCCGACGUACCUUAAGCUCACACUUGAACUUUGCUCGACAUUCCAUGUUCAAGACGUCAUGACCAACUUUGAUGAUCCUGGAAUAGUCUAGUUCCGUCUCUGCGGUUUAGUCCGCUAGUUGAAUGUGCCCGAGUUGGGUAUAGCUUUGGGCUUGUACACAGAAGAGUUUAUGGAUUAGAACGACCUUGACACUCUCUGUCGCCAUAUUCACUACUUUUCCUCGAAGUGCUGGUAUGCUUUGGUCCCCAGUUCAGCCACUUACUACCCAAGCCACUCCAAGGCAUCGGCUCUCUCUCCCUCCUUGCGGUACCUACAUGCCAUCUUGGCACACACUUUAACAGGACGUCAAGAGAGCACCGGUAUCGUCAACACUCACAAUGCUUACUUUCUAUGGAGCAUGGCGAAUGGGCAUGUACUCGACCUCGCCUAUUUUAUUACCCUCGCCAUUCGCCACCAGACGGAGCGACAUCGAAGGGGGGUCAUCUCGACUGGCCCCUACGUGACUCGACUGGCACGGCACUUCGGGCUCCUCAACACAGCAGGCCAAUCAUCCUCCCUUACUCUUAUUGGCCAGAUGUCCCCACAAGGCAUCUCGAGCAUGUUCAGUAUGAGGAUGAUCAAGAAGCCCCGAAUAACCCACCCUCCUUAGUAUCGCCUCUCCCAAUCAGUCGAGGAGGGAGACCUUGAGAAUAUUACUGAUGAUGUCCCUCCACGUCAUGAGGACCUACCGUCUCAGCCACCACCACCCUCUCAUCCAGUUCAUACGGCGACUUCGUACGCUGACAUCUCUGAGCGCCUUACCCGAUUGAAGCAACAGUGUUUUCAGUGGUUCGAUAAUAUUGACGCUACUUUACAGCAAAUUUUUCAACACUUCCAGAUCUCAUCGCCACCCCCACCUCGAUAAAUAUUUAUAAUGAAGAUCAAACCUAGACUAACUAUUAUCACGAUGAAAAAGCAAGUACACCUAUCGAACAAUAGUAUAGUAAUGGCAAGACCGGAUAUCGUACCUAAGGGAACCAAAAGUACUAGUAAUAACUAUCUUUUUAUUAUCUAACCUAGAAAUAAAGAGGGGUUGUUUAUUAAACUAAUUAACUAAACUAAUUAACUAAUUAAACUAAAGUAAAGAGAAGAGUUGGAAAAAGACUUGAAGAAAAUUAAUUUGAUAAAAACGACACCCAAGGAGGAAUCCACCUAGAUUUCACUUGUUAUCUGACUCUAAACCAGAAGAUUUAUUCACUUGACUUGAUCCGUGAGACUCCCUAACCUAUGUUAUUAUCUCUUUCGAGACUAAUAAUAUCUAACCCUCGGUUUAAUUAAUCAAAAUUUCAUUCUUAAUUAAAACCCUUAGGGAAGCAGUAAAUCGAUCUAUGGACUCCCAUAUUAGGUUUCACCCUAAUCUGGCAAAAUCUCGUAACCCUAUUUCUAGGCGUUCGAUCAACUCCGCUUAAUUAUGCCAAAUCUACUCUUAGACAGGGACUUUUGCUCCUCUGCAUAAGCACAUCAAAUCAUGAAUUAAUACCUGGAAUAUUAACUCAAGCAUUAAGACACAUAAUUAAGAACAAGUCAAGUAUUUAUCAUAUAGUUCAGAUAAUAAUAACAAGAUCCAUCAUAGGUUUCAACCCCCUUAGGUAUCUAAGGGGUUUAGUUCAUAAUAAGAUAAGAGUACAUCUCAAAAGUAUGAAAAUAACAAAACAUAAAGAAAGCUCUAAAACCCCUGAAGGAAUUUUGAGAGAGAUCUUCAGUCUUGAAGUAGCUCCGGCUUUUGGGGUGGAUCGUCUGGCUUCCUUCAAGUAAUUCCUAGCGUGUGGUUCUGUAUUCCAGAGAAGUUCUGGAAGAGGGCCCCUUUCUAAGUCAUACUUAGGGUGUUUAUAUAGGCUUUGGAUUGGCUUUCUUCCUCCCUAAGUAUCAUUUUUCGUGUAAAAUACAACUCUUUGAGAAAAGGGACACGCCCGUGUGCCACGGCCGUGUGACGUGAUUACCACGUCGUGUUUGAUCCAUUAAUUUUCACAUGACCGUGUGGGUCAAUGGCCAGGCCAUGCGAAUCGUGAAAGCCCUUGGCCGACACCCUCGAAAGACACGAGUAUGUGAGCAGUUCGUGUGGAAAGGCUUAGGCCGUGUCAUCUUCUCGAUUUGGUCUGUUUUGUCCCUUUUUUAGCUCAUUUUUGGCUCCUUUUGACUCUUGGUGCUCUCGUAAGUACAAAACAUGAAAUAACCGAACUAAGAGUUCCAAAAUCCAAAAAUCUAGUGAUAAACAUCCAUAAAUAUGCUAAGUAUUUGGGGUAAAAAUAUGUAUAAUUUGGCAUUUAUCAAAUACACCCACACUUAAGCAUUUGCUUGUCCUCAAGCAAAACUUUCAUUUAUUGCUAUAAUUCCUUCCUUUCAAUCACACAAUCAUUACUGAUAAUGUUACAAACUAUUCCAUGGAAAAUCAUACAGUGAGAAUUCAACCAUAGGGGCAUUAAAAGCCUCAAACAAUCUAAAUCGAAUAUUUUGAUAAUAAAAUUAUAGGUAAUCUCCUUCCUCUAAGUAAUUGGCUUUAGUCCUAAAUAUACAAAAGAUGACAUCCUCACUAGCGAUCCACUCAAAUCACUCAAAGUGUUUAAAGUUUAAGAUUAAGCACUCGGUUGUCUAACAUGAGAAGUUAUUACCAUAGGCUUGCAUGAAAAUCAAAUCUCCACCACUUGUAAAUGAUAUGAUACACAAAUCAAAAGGUCUUUGUAUAGUUGUAACAGGGUUUAAGGGACGGGUAUAGAUACAAACUGAAGAGACAAAGGUUAAAAUCGAGAUAAUUUCAAUAUAUUACCCCACUAUCAAAAACUUAAUUAUUGAAUCACAAACAAAUAUCUAGAACUAUAUUACAUGAGCUCAUGACAACUUUAGCUUGCUGAGGAUUACAAUAACAAUACUGAGAGUUUUUUUUUGGUUUCAAGAACAAAACAAGUCAAUACAAUAUAAAAAUCAUACUUCAUGAUUCAGUAACAAAAAAUGGUGAACAUAGUGAGGUAACAAUAUUAAAUUUAAUCUCGAUAAAAAAAGUAAAUUAAUUAAGAGGAUUUCAACAAUAAUGGGUUAAUGGGUUAAUGAUAAGGGUUAAUCAAUAAAAAAGUUUAGUAGGCUCAAAAGAGGUUCACUAAGGGUUUAAUUAUGUGGGAAGGCUUUUUAUGGAAUAAGUGGGUUAAAUCCUAAGUGCCUUUAUCAUCUCAGUAUAUCAAAUCAUACGUGUGAUCUCGACAUGUAUAAUUGAAGAAAGUUCUAGAAUAACAGUUCAAUGUUGACACACUCAAACCACAAAAUAAGUGAGCAAGAAAGAAAGCUUAUAUGCUCAAAAAGCUCAAAAAUCUCACGAAAAAUUUGGGUUUGUGAUGUCAUUCCUGUAUACUUAAGAUUUCAAGAUAAUACCUCAAUUUAGGAAAGUAGUCUAAAAAUUUUAGUUAUCAAAAUAUCAACUUAUCAUGCUCAAUUCUCUAAUGUCCUAUAAUCAAAUGAUCAUGCAUAAUUCCCAUGAUCUAAUUCAUGACAUAUCAACAAUAAUUAUAGAUCAAUCAGAAUUCAUUCGAUUAAGAUUAUGAGAAAAUCACUUAAGCACAAAACCAAAUUCAGGGAUUUGAGAAUAAUGCAAAAAGUUAGGUUUCAUGUUCAUGUUCACCCCCCACACUUAAGAUGUACAUUGCCCUCAAUGUACAAAGAUAGAUUAAUCAAAAUAAAGAAAGUCAUAAGAGGGAAAGAGGUGAAACUCCCUGUUAUAUGGAUGCAGAGGUUGAUUCUGAGGCUGGAGUGUUUGGGGAAAGUGGUAGCUGCCACUGUUCUUGGCUAGAUGAAGAAAUUGGGUCAUUGAACAUGGCACUCGUUGGGUAUUGUCCCUAUUUGUUUCCUCAGUUCGUAAAAUAUUCCUAGCAACUUUGCUUGGAAUUCUGUAGAAUCAUGAAGAGCUUAUUAAGAGUUGGUGUGGAAGAGAGCGUAGUAGGAUUACUUGUUAGAAAUACCAGAAAAAAAUGAAGAAAGUAAAAUUUACUAAUAUAGAUAUGUCUUUCAAAAGAAAAUAAUAAGAUUGAAAUGAAAAUAAAAAAAGAAAAAGAAAAAUAGAGAUAAAAAUAAAAAGAUAGAAGGAUUCAAUGAUCCUCAUCAGUGGGGCCCUCAGUUGGUGGCGCUGGAGUGGCAAUGUGAAAGUGCUGGCACAGCUACUGCAUCAUGGCUUGCAUGUCGUCCAUCUGUCUAUCACAUCGCCGAUCUCGCUCGUGAAUCAUCUCGAACUGUUACUGCUCAAAGUGAGCGAGUCGGUCAGAAAGGUGUGCCAAUGAAAAAGCCGCAUGAACUGGUCGUUCCCCAGAUAGCGUGAUAGGAGGCUCCUCGUGCUGUGGUGGGACAUCAUCAGGAAUGUCCUCAAGAUCCUCCUCAUCAAUGGCAUGAGUGAGACGGUACUGAAGAGGAUCGGUCCCACGUCGGCGCUCAAUCAUCCUUAUGUGUAACAUAGUAGUGAUGCCCUGUGGGGACAUCUGACCUAUCAGUGUAAACGCUGAUGACUGGACCACAGUGUUGAGGAGGCCGAAGUGUCUGGCAAGGUGCGUCACGUAGGGGCCGAUAGAGAUUACUCCCUUCCAAUGCCGCUCGGUCAGAUGGCGAAUGGCGAAAGUAAUGAAAUAUGCCAAGUCAGUCACAUGUGCAUUCGCCAUGCACAAUAAAUAGUAGGCGUCGUGGGUGGUGACAACGCCGAUGCUCUCUCUCCUUCUGGUCAAAGUGUGUACCAAUAUGGCAUGGAGAUAUCGUAGGGAAGGGGGAGAGCUGAGGCCUUCGAGCGGCUGCGGUCAUAAGUGGAAGAGAGUGGUGCCAAAACCUUCCAGCACAAGAAGGGAGAAAUAUGGAUAUUGCGUGGUAGUGCAUUCAUGUCCUCCUCCUCCAUAAACUCAUCAACGUAAAUUCCCAAAGCAACUCCAAACUCUGGGACACUCAUCGCGUGAACUAGACCGCCUAAUCGGAAGUGAAUGGUGCCGGGGUUAUCAUUGUUCGUCAUCACCACCUGUAAAUGAAAAGUAGAGCAUAAUUCUAAAGUUAGCUCUAAAUAAGUGGGCUUGAUAAUAGCGAAGAACCGUUCCUAUAGGUCUAUGGACAGGAGGGCGUGGAUGGCAACAGCUAGCUGGACUUACUCUACGGCAGCCCAGUGAUGCAGAGACCUGUAGAGAAGGGUCGUGCGCGUAGUAUCUGAAAUAGCUCCUCCUGCGAAGCUUGUGGAAAUUUAAGGAAUGGGUGCCGAAAUUCAACUGUAGCACGUACCGAGGAAUAACCCGAUCCCCUAUGUCUCUUUGAGGAUGGGACCGCGACCUUCUUACCUCUCGAUGAUGACAUAAGGUACCAGAAAAUGUAGGAGCAUUGAUAUAGUAGUUUCAAGAUGUGGUAACAUUUAUCGAUAUCAAGCGAGAGGUGAAAAUUUUAUAUGAUUAUUCAAAAACAUAUACUGAGAUAAAAAAUGCAUGAUCGGUUAAGCAAGAAUCCUAGAACUAGUAUAUGCUAUUUAGUAGCUUAAAAAAUUUAAAUAUAGAAAAUACUAAAGCAAAUUCUUAACUUAUUCAGAACAAAUUGGUAACAGAAACAAUAUCUUUGUAAGGCAUAUAGAACACUAAUGUAGUAACACAAAUUGGAAAAACAAGGUUGACAAAGUGAACCAAAAUUGCUGUAAGGCGGCGCACGAGUGUGUUGAUGGCGAGCACGGGCGUGGGGCGUGAGUGUACAGUCGUGUGGAGGAAAAAUAGAGGGAAAAGUGAGGAUUGAUGCAGGGGGAGUGGAUUUGAGGGUGGUUUGGGGGUUGGGGAAGUGAGAAUCUAGGGAAUGGUGGUCGGAAUAAGGAUUAGGGAGUGGAGAAGGAUAGAUUUCAACUGGGGUUUUGAAAGAAGGAAGAAGAUGAACAGUGGUUUGCUUAUAUAAGGGAGAGUCACAAGGCCUAGGGCCACACCCGUGUACUCUGAGGGUGAGCCCGUGUUUUUCAAAUUUUACGAUUUAGGUCGUGCCCAGCUACUAUCCCACGCAUGUGUGUCUUGGGCGUGUGUGGCACAUGGCCAUGUCGCACGCCCGUGCCUAGCUUUGUUACCAUACCCGUGUAUUGUUGUCCACAGCUUAAAGGCAUAGGCGUGCCUCACACCCGUGUCAAAGAAACAGAAUCGAGCCUUGCCCUUGGCACGUCCGUGUUGUUUCAUUCCCACGCCCGAGUUCACCUAUGAAGUUCAUCCACGGCCAUUUCGCACAGCUGUGGGGAGUUUUUGCAUCCCGUGUUUGGGGAAAUCAUGUCCUGCUUUCACACGGCCGUAUAGCACGGCCGUGUCUCUUCCCCUGUUUUCCACGGCUUUAGACACUCCCGUGUUCCUGGCCGUGUGUGCUGAAAAACUUUGCUAUUCAAAGAUAAAGUUAAUGAUUUAACUUGUUAGAAUUUAAAAAUAAAGAAAUCAAAAUAUGUUAGUGCUCGGGUUGCCUCCUAAGAAGUGCUUAUUUAUAGUCUAAGCUCGACUUACCUCUCUAGUGAAUGGUCAGGGUGGUUCGAGGAGUUUAUACUCCUCAUUCCUGCUAUCAACCUCAUCAAAAUAGGGUUUUAAUCGGGUGUUGUUUACCUGAAAAGUGCCAAACUUUCGGUGAUUCACCUCCACCGUAUGGAAUGGAAAUAUACUGAGUACCGUAAGAGGGAUUUCCUCAUGCGGUGUGGUAGUGACAAUGUGGGGAUCUGCGGCAUCUAGUAAGACUUUAUCGCCAACCUUAAGUUGAUUAGGAGAGGUAUUGGGCUUGUUUUGGCGUAGUUUCGAUUUAUCAUGUGUUCUCGAUUUGUGUGCUCACCAUUCAUCUAUCUCCUCUAUCCGUAGGCUUCGUUCUUCAUGAACGUAUCCUUUAUCAUUUCCAGAACAUGGCUCAUGAAUGUCUUUGAAGCUCAAUUUCUACAAAGUCAUAUUGUCAAUUUUAGUAUAUUGGUGUGGACUAUUACCUUCAAUGUUCGAUGUAAUGUCAGAAUUAUGAGCUUUAAAGGUGAUCGUUUCAUCUCCCACACAAAGUGUAAGUUCACCUGUGCCAACAUCAAUAAUUGUUUUAGCAAUUGCUAAAAAGGGCCUCCCUAAAAUCAAAGGGGUGUUAUUAUCCUCCUCUAUGUCUAGAACAAUGAAAUCAAUGAGGAAUAUGAACUUAUAUCCUUUCACGAGUACAUCUUUAAUAAUACCCCUAGGAAAUCUUAUAGUUUUAUUUGCCAAUUGAAUGCUCAUCCUAGUUUGUUUAGGUUUCCCAAGAGCAAGUUGUUUAAACAUUUUGUAAGGCGUGACGUUAAUACUAGUCCCUAAAUCAGCUAAUGCAUGACUUAUAUCUAAACUACCAAUUAAACAAGGAAUUGUAAAACUCCCUGGAUCUUUCAAUUUGUGGGGUAGCUUAUUCUGUAGAAUAGCUGAGCAGACUGCGUUUAGCUCCACAUGUGAUGCUUCGUCCAACUUUCGCUUAUUUACUAAAAGCUCUUUCAAAAAUUUCAUUGCAUUUGGCAUUUGCGAAAAAGCUUCAAUAAACGGUAAGUUAAUAUGUAAUUUUUUCAAAAGUUUGAGGAAUUUACCGAAUUGUUCGUCCUUGUCACGUUAGUGUAUGGCACACGAGGUUCAUAUUUGACAGUCACUGGUUUGUUUGUAUUUUGAUCUACCUCAUCUCUCCUUUUUCUUACCACUGUUUCUUGCCUUGGUUCUAUUUUAGGCUCCACGACUCCUUCGUUAUUCUGGAUAUUAAUUGCGUUGAGCUAUUCCUGUGGGUUGGGUUCAGUGUUACUUGGUAAGCUACCUUGUGGUCGUUCGGAGAUUAGUUUGGAUAGUUAGCCUAUCUAAGUUUUGAGCCCUUGGAUCGAUGCUUGUUGAUUCUUAAGUGUUGUCUCGGUAUUUUGGAAACGGGCGUCUGACACUGAUAUGAAUUUUGAGAGCAUCUCUUCAAGGUUCAGUUUCUUCUCUUGUUGAUAAGGUGGCUGUUGAAAACCCUGAGGAUUUUGUGGCUUUUGAUUUCCUUGACCACCCUAGGAGAAAUUUGGGUGGUUCCUCCAACCUACAUUAUAAGUAUUACAGUAUGGGUUAUUUUGCGAUCUGAAGUUAUUGUUACCCAUAUAGUUGACUUGUUCCUCUUCGGUUAUGAGAUUGAAGGAUUGAUAUUCUGUAUGCACACCUCCUCCACUUGAGUCACACCUCAUUACUGGAUGUACCUACGUAGAACUAAGAAAACCAUCAAUCUUUUUAUUGAGAAGUUCUACCUGAUUUGACAGCAUAACAAUUGAGUCGACGUUAAAAACACCGACUAUUUUCGUUGGCUUAGUCCUCAUGACUUGCCACUGAUAAUUAUUCAGUGACAUCUCCUCUAUAAACUCAUAGGCAUCUUCCAGUGUUUUAUUGUUGAUGGUUCCGCCAGCAGCUGCGUCAACCAUUUGCCAAGUCGAAGGAUUCAGACCAUUGUGAAAUGUUUGUACUUGCAGCCAAAGUGGUAACCUAUGAUGAGGGCACCUUCUCAGUAAGUCCUUGUAUCUCUCCCAUGCAUCGUAAAGUGUUUCUAAAUCCAUCUGCACAAAAGAAGAGAUAUCAUUACUAAUUUAGCCAUUUUAGCCGGCGGAAAAUAUUUUAGUAAAAAUUUCUCGGUCAUUUGUUCCCAAGUAGUAAUUGACCCUCGUGGUAACGAGUUCAACCACUGUUUAGCUUUGUUCCUCAAUGAAAAAGGUAAUAACCAAAGACGAAUGGCAUCAUCAGAGACGCCAUUGAUUUUGAAUGUAUCGCAAAAUUCCAGGAAAUUUGCUAAGUGAGCGUUGGGAUCUUCAUCCUACAGACCAUCAAACUGAAAAAACUGCUGUAUCAUCUGAAUAGUGUUAGAUUUUAAUUCAAAAUUAUUUGCAGCUACAGCAGGUCUAACUAUGCUAGAUUCAGUUCCUGUUAGAAAAGGUUUAGCAUAAUCAUACAUAGUACGUGGAGCAGGAUUUUGAUUAGCUGUAAUUGCAGGAGGUAGCUGAUUGUCUUGGCUUUCAGCCAUCUCUUCAGUUGGGGGUUGAGUAUUGUCUUUUUGCUCGUUCUCCGUGUAUCUUAAGCUGCGCCUUAUUUCUCUUUGAUUUCUACGAACUGUACGAUCGAUUUCUUCGUCAAAAAGUAAUGGUCCCGACAGGUUUCUUCUAGUCAUAAACUAUAAAAACCUGCCAAGAGAAAGAAAAACUAACUUAAUAAAUAAUAAUAAUAAAAUUAAAUUGCAAGAAAAAUAAAUGGCUAAAGUAAUAAAAAUUUAGCAUUCCUAAUAUUUUAGUUCCCUAGCAACGGCGCCAAAAACUUGACCGCGUGAUUCGUAACAAUUAAUAAAUAUUUAUAAUGAAGAUCAAACCUAGACUAAAUAUUAUCACGACGAAAAGGCAAGCGCACCCAUCGAACAAUAGUAUAGUAAUUGCAAGAUCGGGAUAUUGUACCCAAGGGAACCAAAAGUACUAGUAAUAACUAUCUUUUUAUUAUCUAACCUAGAAAUAAAGAGGGGUUGUUUAUUAAACUAAUUAACUAAACUAAUUAACUAAUUAAACUAAAGUAAAGAGAAGAGUUGGAAAAAGACUUGAAGAAAAUUAAUUUUAUAAAGACGACACCUAAGGAGGAAUCCACCUAGAUUUCACUUGUUAUCUGACUCUGAACCAGAUGAUUUAUUCACUUGACUAGAUCCGUGAGACUCCCUAACCUAUGUUAUUAUCCCUUUCGAGACUAAUAGCGUCUAACCCUCAGUUGAAUUAAUCGAAAUUUCUUUCUUAAUUAAAACCCUUAGGGAAGCAGUAAAUCGAUCUAUGAACUCUCAUAUUAGGUUUCAACCUAAUCCGGCAAAAUCUCGUACCCCUAUUUCUAGGCGUUCGAUCAACUCUGCUUAAUUAUGCCAAAUCUACUCUUAGACAGGGACUUUUGCUCCUCUACAUAAGCACAUCAAAUCAUGAAUUAAUACCCGAAAUAUUAACUCAAGCAUUAAGACACAUAAUUAAGAACAAAUCAAGUAUUUAUCAUACAGUUUAGAUAAUAAUACAAGAUCCAUCAUAGGUUUCGACACCCUUAGGUAUCUAAGGGGUUUAGUUCAUAAUAAGAUAAGAGUACAUCUUAAAAGUAUGAAAAUAACAAAACAUAAAGAAAACUCUAAAACCCUUGAAGGAAUUUUGACAGAGAUCUUCAGUCUUGGAGUAGCUCCGGCUUUUAGGAUGGAUCGUCUGGCUUCCUUCAAGUAAUUCCUGGCAUGUGGUUCUAUAUUCCAGAGAAGUUCUGGAAGAGGGCCCCUUUCUAAGUCAUCUUAGGGUGUUUAUAUAGGCUUUGGAUUGGCUUUCUUCCUCCCUAAGUAUCCUUUUCCGUGUAAAAUACAACUCUUUGAGAAAAGGGACACGCCCAUGUGCCACGGCCGUGUGACGUGAUUACCAAGCCGUGUGAAUCGUGAAAGCCCUUGGUCAACACCCUCGAAAGACACGGGCGUGUGAGCAACCCGUGUGGAAAGGCUUAGGCCUUGUCAUCUUCUCGAUUUGGUCCGUUUUGUCUGUAAUAUCCCGAAUUAGGGCCUAAUCAGAAUAGUGGUUUCGUGACCAUAAGUCCGAGAUAGAAAUAAUUAUUUUAUAAUUAUUUUGAGGUUUAUGAUAUGAUUGCAUGAUUGUGUGAAAGUUUCGUGAUGAAAUUCUAUGCCUAAAGUGCUUAAAUUAAAAGUAGGGACUAAAUCGAAUAAGUUGCAAAACUUGCAUUCUAGAAGUUUUUAGUAUGAAAUUGUUUUGGAAUAUUAAUGAGGAGGUCUUAAAUAGCAAUUUGACCAAUUUUAAGUUCAUGGACAAAAUUAGGACAUGGAAGGAAUUUUUGAAAAGUUUAGUAGUAAGGGUAUUUUGGUCAUUUAGUUAUUAAAAUGAAUUAAAAAAAAAUUAAAAGCCAAUUUUUGUCCAUCUUCUUCAUUAGGCCGAAAUUUCAAGGGUUCUCCAUAGCUAGGGUUUGUUUCAAGCUUCCAAGCUCCAUAGUAAGUGAUUCCAAGCCCCAUCUUUAAUGAUUUUUACGUUUUUGAGAUCCCGGUAACUCGAUAAAGCUUAUGUUAGCAAUAAUUUAACCUAGGGUUUAUAUUUGGAAAAAUAUCCAUAGGUGAAAUUUGUGUAUUUUGAUGUUUUAUGAUAGAAUAUGAAGUUUUAAAUUAUGUUAGACAACUUGUACUACUCGAUUUUAAGCAAAAACGAGUAAAAGGGCUUAAUCGGUAAAAAUACCUAAUAGUCACAAGUACAUGUUAGAGUGAGAAUUUGAUGUUUCCAUAGAAGAGAAAAGUGAUCAGCAUGUUGUAAAACAUAAGAAUAAGGAAUAAAGUUUAAUCCCGAGCCUAGGGGCAAAAAUGUAAAUAUGCAAAAGUUUUUGUAAUUUUGCCAAAAUUUGAGUUAAGGAUUAAUUUGAUAAUGUGAGUAUUAAAUAAGCUAAAUGUGUUAUUUUAGAUCAAGAAAGACGUGGAAUCGACCUCAAUCGAGGAAAAGAAAAGAUUGUGGACUAAAUUGCAAAAUCUUUGUAUUUUGGUACCAAGGUAAGUUCAUGUGUAAAUAAUGUAGCAUAAUGGUUAUUUUUAAGUUAUUGAUGUUAAUUAUAUGUUAUGCUGAAUUUUAUUAUGAAAUGUAUGCUUUGUGGUUAAUUUCAAAUAAUAUGUAAAUUAUGUGAACUACUUGUUAAAUAUAAUUGUUACCGAGUAUUGAUUUCGGCAUUCUACGGAAGACGGAAAGGAUAAGUGUUCGAGGAAAAAAGCCAGUUUGAACCUUAGGAAUAGAUUAGGACACAAGUGACAUGUCACUAGGAUGGUUGAGCAUCCGAACUCGUUGAGUUGAGUCCGAGUUCACUUAUGGAUGCGAAUGUCCGAACUCGUUGAGUUGAGUCCGAGUUCGUGAGAUGUAACUAGGCAUCCGAACUCGUUGAGUUGAGUCCGAGUUCACUUAUGGAUGUGAACGCCCGAGCUCGUUGAGUUGAGUCCGUGUUCGCUUAUGGGCGGGUUACAUGAUUGCUUGAUUGCAUAUAUGGCACUUAUGUGCAAGUUAUCCAUGUAUCCGAAUUAUAUUCCGAUGUGUUCAACGGGUAAAGUUCUACUGAAAUGGAGGAAUAUUCGAGAUGUAAGGAGACGUAUUGGUAAGUGAUGUGAAAUGGAUAUUUUGGACAGGUAUGUAUUUAACCCUCGGGUUGAGUAUUGAUACAACCACGAUAAGGUAAUAAGAUGAUGAAAAAUGAUUAAAAAUGUGAUAUGUGUUUUAGUGAUACAUGCUAAUGUUGAUUGGUAUGACUGUUUGUUAUGUUACUUAUUAUUUGCAUAUGAACUUACUAAGCAUUUAUGCUUACUCUCUCCUUCUUACUCAUUGUAGUUUUGGACAAGCCAGCUCAAGAGUCGGGAUAGGUCGAAGGCUCAGUCACACUAUCCGGAAGACUUUUGGUAAUGGCUUGUAAAUUUAAGUAUGGCAUGUAUAGCAAUAUACCUUUUUUGUGUAAAUGAUCUUAUGGUAUGGUGAUGGAAUGGUUGAGGAAAUGCUUGAUAAUGAUAAAUUAUGAAAAUAGUUAGUUUAGAUUAUAUUUGAUGUUAAGGAAAAUUAUUAAGAUACUUAGUGCAUAAAAACUCAUAUAAGGGAUGAAAUUUGCCAUAAACAGAAUACUGCAGCAACACUGAUGCGAGUUUAAAAAUAUACUAAAAAUCAGAGAAAUUGAACUUGGUGAUGUACUACAUAUCAAAUUGAAGCUUAUUAUGUCUAGUUUCACAUGAAACAAAUGAAACAGGUAAAGGAAUUAUAUGUUACAAGAUAUUUGAAUUUUAGUGAAACAGGGUCAUAGCAGUUUCUGAUUCCCCUAUUCCAACUUUAGAAAUUCACCAUAAAUUUUAAAGAUAUAAUUAGGUAGUGUAUUUUAUAUUCUCAGAAUCCUUAUUGAGUCUAGUUUCAGUAGAAACAAACCUCAUAGUCAUAUCGAUUUUUUACAGAGAUAAAUAUGGUUUGUAGUAAACAGAGGUCAGACCAGUCAAGUCCUGAAACAGGGGUAAUUUUAACUAAUAAAAUGUACUAAUUUACCCAACCAAAAAUUCUAUAAAAAAACUAGUAGAUAGGUAUAUGAGUCUAGAUUUAGGGAAAAUUUACGGAUCUUAAUUUCGAGUUUCAUAACUCGAGAUAUGAUUUUUCUUGUGACUGUGAUGCAAGUAGCUUAAAAGCUGUGAAUGUAGAAAUAAAUAAUCCAAAGUUCUAAAUAUGUUAAAUUAAGCUUAGUAACACCUCAUACUCGACUCCGGCGACAGUCUCGGGCGUGGGGGCGUUACAUUGUCCCUUUAUUUUAUGUUUUUAUUUUUAUUCUAUUUUAAGACUACUUUUUCUUUUUACUUUAAGCUUAUUUCUAUUAGAUUUUAUAAUUUUUAUUUUACAAUUAUCAAUUUCGGCUAUUCCAUUACAAGUAAUUAUGCUUCCUUAUAUUUCCUAAAAUAGUUCUUGAUUCUGUCACAGUUAUAAAGUGCACCUCAGCUCAUCAUCACAUAGGAACUAAAAACUCCACCAGGAAAGGUUCUCCAUGACUGCCAUGUCCUGCUUGACCACGACCAUAGCUACCACCAUAUAAAAUUCUUUUGGUGCAGGACUUAUGGACUAAUAAAACUCUACCACCACCGGAGAUUCCCCUCCACUCUCACGCCGAUUAUUCUCCAAAACUCCAGUUCAAGGAAUUCAUUCAUCAUUCAAGAAGUUUCACUUCCCUCCCUAUCUUAUGAUUAUAAAUCUAUCUUUUUCACUAUAUCUACCUUUGUACAUUGAGGGUAAUGUACAUCUUAAGUGUAGGGGGUCUUUUAUAUCAGAAAAAAUCCCUGAAUUUUGUUUUAUUCUCAUGCGAUCUUCUCAUAUCAUUAUUAGACUGAAUUCCAAUUAGUCUAUAAUUUUUAUUAAUAUAUAUUGAAUUAAAACAUAGGCAUUUAUGCAUUGAUUGUUUAAACUUUAAGACAUUAGGGAAUCAAACAUGAUAAGUUGUUUUGGAAGAAUUAAAAACUUUUAGGUUGUCUCCCCAAGUUUAGGUAUUAUUUUGAGUAGGAAUUUACAAGUUUAAACAUCAAAAAGUCAUAAUUUUUUGUGAGAUCUUGAGCCUUUAGAGCAUUUAUUAUUUCUUUCAUGCUCACUUUCAAUAUGAGUGCGCUAUUAUUGAAUUGUUAUUCUAGAACUUGCUUGAUUAUGCAUGUUAAGACCACACCAUUUGAUUUGAUAUGUCAAAAUGAUAAAGGCACUUAGGUUUAAACCACUCACUCCAUAAAAGCCUACCUUCACAAUUAACCCUUAGUGAACCUCCUUGAGCCUAACAACCCAUUCAUUGAUUUACCCUCAAUAUUAACUCAUAACUCAUUAUUGUUGAAAUCCCCUAAAUUAAUUUGAUCCCUAUUUUUGUCGAGAUUUGAGUUGGAAUAGUUGCUUAGCUAUGUUUUAUUCUAUUUUGUAAUUUGACUUGUUCUUAAAAUAUAUAUAAUACAUGUAUACAUAUUAGUAGUAGUGAUAUUCUAAGCUAAAGAAGUUAGAUUCCAUAUUCUGAGAAAAAGCUCUGUUGUACGUAAUUGAUGACUAGUCAUUUUUCUAGUUAGGAAAUUUUUCAAUUCAAUCUCGAUUCUAACCCUUUCUUUCAGUUUGUGACCACACCUUCUAACCAAAGCCACGUUACAACCCUCUAAAGACCUUUUGAUUGAUGUUUCAUCUCAAUUUAUAGUGGUGGAGAUUUGAUUUUCAUGCAAGCCUAUGGUAAUGACUUUUCAUUAUUGACUAUUGAGUGCUUCAUUUAUUGUCCUUAAACACCUCGAGUGAUUUGAGUGAAUCUUUAGUGAGGAUGUGAAACUCUGUGAUAUUUUGAAUCAAAGGUAAUUACUUAGAUAAGGGAAGACACCUAUGUUUUCAUGAUAAAAUGCUCAACUUGGAAGGUUUGAAACUUUGAUGUUCUGUCAGUUGAAUUUUCAAUGUAUGAUUACCUACAGAUUAGUUUGAGAUAUUAUUGAUGAGAAUUAUAAGUUGAGAAGAAUUUAUUUUGAUUAUAAGUUGAGGAUUUUUCUUGAGGACAAGCAAAUGCUUAAGUGUGGGGGUAUUUGAUAAACCGUAAUUCAUACAUAUUUCUAUCCCAUGCUUAGCACAUUUUAUGGAUGAUUUAUCCUUAAAUUUGGAGAAUUCGAUGCUCCUAAUGCCUUAAUUUCAUGUUUUAUACUUAGGUGAGGAUAAGAGAGUGAAAGGAACGAGAAACGGGCCAAAAACGGAGAAAAUAGGCCAACGUACGAAAUCAACACGGCCUGGACUUCCUAACACGGGCAGACCGCAUGGUCGUGUCAAUUUGGCAGAAUCGAAGCACGACUUACACAGGUAGACCACAUGCUCGUGCCUAUUUAACAGGCUUGACCAUAGCCUGAAGUAAUCGCACACGGGCGUGUCCCUGUCGAGCCCAAGCAGAGUCCUAUUCAGAAAAGGCCACUUUUGAGGGCUCUUAGGCAUUCCAAAGCCUAUAAAUACUCCCUAGAAGAGGAGAAGAGGGGGGACACAGAUUAGGAAGCAAGGAAUUACUCAAGAGAAGCCGAUUGAUCCAUCCCAAAAGCCAGAUUCAUCAUCAAGACUGGAGAUCUCCCUUCAAGUUCCUUCUGGAGUUUUGGGUUUUCUAAUGUUUUGUUAUCUUUAUAUUUUUAAGAUGUUUUCCUUCAUAAGUAUGAACUAAACCCCUAAAUACCUAAGGGGAAUGAAACCUAUGACAUAUCUUGUUAUUAUUAUCUGAGUUGGAUGAUAAAUAUUUGACUUGUUCUUAAUUAUGUGUUCUUAAUUCUUGUUUUGAUAUUCCAGGAUAUUGAUUCAAGUUAAGCUCUUAUUCAGAGGAGGAAUAGACCCUGUCUAAGAGUAAAUUUGUCAUAAUUAAGCGGAGUUGAUUACGCACCUAGAGAUAAGGUGACAAGAUUUUGUCGGAUUAGGGUAAAACCUAAUAAGGGAAUCCAUAGAUCGAGUUAAUGCAAUUCUGGGGUGUUAAUUAGAAAGAGAUUUCAAUUAUUCAACCUAGGGUUAGACGUUAUUAGUCUUAAGAGAGAUAAUGAUAUAACUUAGGGAUUUCUCCAGAUCAAGUCAAAUGAAUAAAUCGUUUGAUUUAGAGUCAAAUAACAAGUGAAGUCUAGGUGGAUUUGUCCUUAGGUAUUGUCUCAAUCAAUCGAAUUUUCCCAAAAAGUAUUUUCCCAAGUUUUUCUUUCUGUGCAUUCUUAGUUAGUAAUUAGUUUAGACAACCAAACCUCUUAAAUUUUAGGCUAGAUAAUAAAAAGAAAGUAAAUACUAGUACUCAUAGUUCCUUUGGGUUCAACAAUCCGGUCUUGCUGAACCAUAUUACUGUUCGAUAGGUACACUUGCCUUAAUCGUGAUACUAAGUUAGUCUCAAGAAAAUUUCAUUUAUAAAUCUUUAAAACCUGUUACAAAUAUCACGCAUCAAUGUUUAUGUGAUUUGGGCAUUGAGGCCCUGGGACAUGUUUGGAGAGAUAAGGAAAUGUGAUCUAAGCUCCAUUCAACGGGACAUGUUUGGUGUGUUGGAGAGUGUUAGUUUAAUUCUUCACUUACGAGACAUGCUUGACUCUAUGAGUCUACGUGGUGUGUUGGAGAUCCGUGUAUCCGAUGAGUGGUGGUAAUGCCCACUUUUACGUUUCAUAACUCAAAUGCCAAAUUAUCUCAAAUUAUCUAUUAAUGUGAUUGUGAAUUGUGACGUUUACAUGAAUAUGCAUGUACUGAUUCUGUAAAUAAACUAUCGAAUAUGCAUGUGAAGUAAAAUAUGUCAACUAAGUUAAGGUUGCUAUAAUUAUGAUAUGUUUCACUAAUGCUUGAUGAAAUGUUUGCAUGGUAGUUGUUUUAGGCAUUCACUGAGCUUGUUAAGCUCACCCACUCCUUUUAAAACCAUUGCAAAUUACUGUGUCCUAGUGUGAGCGGUGUGAUUUUGAGGGGUGAUUCCAAGCAAUUCCUUUUCUAUUAUUUCAUAGGUCUUAUUGUUAUUUGUUUUCAUUUCGAGAAUAAGGCAAUGUGGUAGACUUUUACUGAUAUUUGCCAUGAUGUUUUGGAUGUCUUCAUAGACUAUUUGUUCCUAGGUUUAUGAGAUUCAUUUCGUAUGAUGUUGAUUAUUUGUCAGACUUAUUUUGGAUGUUUGAGACUAUUAUAAUAGUCAUUUUGAUAUUUAUGUAAUGAUGAUAUGAUGGCAUGAAGGAUUGGUGCAUGUUGGAAUGAUUUAUAUGCUCAAGUAUGUUGUAUUUUUCUGGUUUGGAGCAGAGGUAUCGAUAUUCAUGUUGUAAAAAUAAUACCUCUGUGAUUUUGGAACAUGUAGGGAGGCAACAAUGUAAUUUGGUAUCGAUACCCAAUAAAAAGUAUCGAUGCUCAAGGUAGAAAUAUCAUUACUUUGGCCGAGGUACUGAUAAUUUUCGAGGUUUGGGUUUUUAAACGAGAAACAAUAAGCAGUUUUGGUUUUAAUUUUCCCAACAAUAUCAAUACCACUUGAGAGAAUUAUCGAUACCUCACCUUCAGUUUCGAUACCUACGUAGUUAGUUUUUGGAUUUUGCUAAAUGGACUUUAUGCAUAUUUAAUUAUUAUUAUUAUUAUUAUUAUUAUUAUAAGACUAUUUGAUGUAUGUUUAGCAUGUAACAAUGAUGUUAACAGUAUGACUGACUUAAAACCUAUACCAAUACUAAAAUGGAAGUCAUUUCAUUUAGAAUGAGCUUUUACUUAUUGUGUAUAACAUGAGACGGUGGUGUAGCAUCCUGAUAUUCAGGCUUGGAGACCAAGUUGGGUAUAGGGUGUUACACUUAAAAUUUCCAUCCCCCAAAUUUUCUUUGCUGCACCUAAAUCUUUCAUCUCGAACUUAGAGUUAAGCAUAGUUUUAAGACAACAAAUAUCAAAUGGAUUCUUAGCUGCAAUUAACAUAUCAUCAACAUAAAGUAAUAAAUAUAUAAAAGAAUCAUCAUCAAGACGUUGUAGAUAAACACAACUAUCAUACUUACUUCGGGAAAAACCAGUACUCAACAUGAAGGAGUCAAACUCUUUAUACCACUGUCGAGGAGAUUGCUUCAAACCAUACAAAGACUUUUGUAAAAGACAAACAUAAUAUUUUUUACCUUCAAAUUUGAAGCUUUCUGACUAUUGCAUGUAGAUGUCCUCCUCAAGGUCACUGUGAAGGAAAGUAGUCUUUACAUCUAACUGCUCUAACUCAAGAUUAUUUGAUGCAACAAAUUCCAAAAGCGCUCAAAUUGAUGUAUGUUUCACAAAAGGAGAGAAAACAUCAUGAAAAUCAAUUCCUUUCACUUGAUUGUAGCCCUUUUGCAACUAGUCUUACCUUGUACCUAGUGUUAUUAGGACCUGAACCUUCCUUCUUUUUAAACACCCAUUUGCAACCAAUGAUUCCUUUACUGAUGGGUGGUUUAACUAGCCUCUAAUUCUCAUUCUUUUGAAGUGAUUUCAUCUCUUCUUCCUUUGCAACGAACCAUUGGUUGGAGUCGAAGGCUUGAACUGCCUCAUAAUAACACGAAGGUUUGGUUGAAACAAUGCUCUCGGCAACACUUAGAGCAUAAGCCACUAGGUUUCCUUCACAAUAUUUUUGUGGUGGUCGGAUUUCUUGCCUUUUCCUUUCACGAGCCAACUUAUAAUUAGUUAACUGAUAUGGUGAGGGUACCUAAGGGUCGGAUGAAAACCAAAACAAAUCCAAAACAGCUUCAAACAAGCAAAAAUUAGAAUUUUUUUGUGUCGACGUGACAUUGUGAGACACUUUAUCGGGACAAGUGAUAAACUGUAAUUUAUACAUAUUUUUAUCCCAUGCUUAGCACAUUUAUGGAUGAUUUCUCCUUGGAUUUGGUGAAUUCGAUGCUCCUAAUUCUUUAAUUUCAUGUUUUAUACUUAGGUGAGUAUAGGAGAGUAAAAAGAGCGAGAAACGGGCUGAAAACAGAGAAAAUGAACCCACAUGGGAAAUCAACAUGGCUUGGACUUCCUCACACAGGCAUGUCACACGGCCGUGUCCAAUUGGCAAGAUCAAAGCAUGACUUACACGGGUAGACUACACGCCCAUGCCUACUCAACUGCCUUGACCACGGGUAGGAGCAAUCGCACACGAGCAUGUCCCUGCCAAGCCCGAGUAUAGUCCUAUUCGGAACAGGCCACUUUUGAGGGCUCUUAGGCAUUCUAAAGCCUAUUUAAACACCUGAGGAGGCACUUAGAAGAGACAUACGGAGUAGGAGACAAGGAAUUACUUAAGUGAAGCCGAUUGGUCCAUCUCAGAAGCCGAAUUUAUCAUCAAGAGUGAAGAUCUCCCUUUAAUUUCCAUUCAAGGGUUUGGGGUUUUCUUUAUGUUUUGUAUUCAUUAUUCUUCUGAGAUUUUUUCUUUUAUAAUUAUGAACUAAACCCUAAGAGGAAUGAAACCUAAGACAGAUCUUGUUAUUAUUAUCUGAAUUGUAUGAUAAAUAUUUGACUUGUUCUUAAUUAUGUGUUCUUAAUUCUUGUUUUAAUAUUCAAGGAUAUUGAUUCAAGUUAAUGCCCUUAUUCAGAAGAGCAAAAGUCUCUGUCUAAGAGUAAAUUUAUCAUAGUUAAGCGGAGUUGAUUGCAGCCUAGAGAUAGGGUGACAAGAUUUUGUCGGAUUAGGGUGAAACCUAAUAAAGGGGUCCAUAGAUCAAGUUAAUGCAACACUAGGGCGUUAAUUAGAAAGAGAUUUCAAUUAAUCAACGUAGAGUUAGACGUUAUUAGUCUCAAGAGAGAUAAUAAUAAAACUUAGGGAUUUCUACGGAUCAAGUCAAAUGAAUAAAUCGUCUGAUUCAGAGUCAAAUAACAAGUGAAGUCUAGGUGGAUUUUUCCUUGGGUAUUGUCUUAAUCAAUUGAGUUUUUCCAAAAGCUUUUUCCCAAUUUUCUCUCUGUGCACCCUUAGUUUAGUUAAGUAGUUUAGAUAAACAAAUCCUUUAAUUUUUAGGCUAGAAAAUAAAAAGAAAGUAAUUACUAGUACUCUUGGUUCCUUUGGGUUCAACAAUCUGGUCUUGCUAAAGCUAUACUACUGUUCGAUAGGUACACUUGCCUUCAUUGUGAUAAUAGUUAGUUUCAAGAACGAUUAAUUAUAAAUUUCUAAAACCUAUUACGAAUAUCACGUAUCAACAAGACCUCUAUUCGUCACGUCAUUGCGAUGUUAGGCAUUUGCUCGUUAUGUCGUCACCUUUUUAUUUCGGCUUUUGACUCCACCUUGCUCGAGACACUCUGAUUUGUUAUGUCUUUAAAAUUAAAAGUCUUAUUUUGUUAUCAAAGCAUAGUAGAUUUAUCAAACGUAACAUCUCUGCUAACAAUGAUCUUUUCAGAUUCUAAACAUCACAACUUAAAAACUUUUGUACUAGCAGCAUAUCCCAAAAAGAUGCUUUUAACGACCCUUGGUUCAAGCUUUCCCUAGCUACUUUAGCAUAAGUAGGACAACCAAAAAUUCUAAGAUUUGAUUAAUUUGGAGGAUUACCUAACCAUAUCUCCUUUGGAACUUUACCAUUCAAUGCUCAAUAAGGAGAUCGAUUUACCAAAUAACUUGUUAAGUUUACAGCUUCAGCCCAAAAUUCCUUCCCUAAGCAUGCGUUAGAAAGCAUGCAUCAAGCCUUUUCUAGCAAGGUUCUGUUCAUUCUUUUUGCAACUUCAUUCUAUUGUGGAAUUCUAACAAUGAUUCGAUGUCUUUCAAUUCCUUCCCGUUUGCAAAAUCACUAAACUCUGACAAAAAAAACUCAACACCAUUAUCUGUUCUCAACUUCUUCAUGGAUUUUCUGAUUUGUUUUUCUAAUAGUGUCUUCCACUGUUUGAAAAUUUCGAAGACUUGUUCUUUUCUAUUUCAAGAAAUAAACCCAAACUUUUCUGGAGUAAUCAUCAAUAAAAGUUAGGAAAUAUUUAUUAUCUCCUUUUGGGAUGUUAAAAGAUGGACCCCAAAAAUCAGAAUGAAUGUAAUAUAAAGUCCCUUUUGUUCUAUGCACUGCUAAAUCGAAACUAACUCGGGUUUGCGUAACACCCCGCACCUGUAUUCAUUGUCAGAAUAAGGUUGCAGAGCAUUGCCAAACUUCUUUCACAAAUAAACACACAUUUCUCAUACAUUUUUCCAUUAUAAAUAUAAAACAUUUACAAUCAUUUAUAACGCCCCUAAUAUGAGCCUACGAGGCCCAAAACAUGCUUUAGAAAUGGUUUGGGAAUAAACCGAUAACUUAGGAAACUUUUAGAAAACUUAGAAAGUUUUUCAAAAUACAGGGAACAUAGGCCUGUGUGGCCUGACCGUGUGUCUCACAAGGCCAAAUACACGCCCAUGUCACAAGCUCAGUGGACAUUCGAAAUGGGAUCACAUGGCCAUGUCUCAGCACAUGUCCGUCCCCGUGUAACUCCCUGACUUCGGUCACACGACCAACCACAUGCCCGUGUCACCAACCCGUGUGCCCUUCGGAAUGGCCUAACACACCCAUGUGCUAGGCCGUGUGCUAGGCCAUGCCAAACCUGUAGGGUAUUCUAACUAAUACUACACGGCCAAGUCACACGCCCGUGUGUUGGGCCGUGUGGAGCAUACUAACUUGGUUUCUAAUUAAACACCAGGGGACACACAGCCGUGUCACCUGACCAUGUGUCACACACAGCUGAGACACACACCCGUGUCUCUUCCCGUGUGGACAAAAAUAGGCUAUUUACCGAGCCAUUUUUUUCACCCAAUUUGUAAUCACCUACACUAAACCAAAGGCAUAUAAUAUGGUAUAAAUAAGCAUUCCAACCAAUCUCAACCAAGCCUAAUUCAUGCUAAAUCCAUACUAUCAACCAUAUGACUUACAAGUAUAACAAAUAGUCAUUCAAUUUCAUACCAAAUUCACACCAAAUUCACAUUCUCAAAUUGCCUAAAUGGUCACUUUCAUUUAUACAUCACUUUACCUAAAAUCACAAGCAUACUAAUUCUCAAUUAUCAACUAUUUGAUACUCAAAUUACCAAUUCAUAAAGAACCUUUCACCAUAAGCAUUUACAUGAUAAUUACCAAAUGCAUAACAAAGGCCAUUUGCACAUAUAUAUAUACACAACCAAAUCAACUAAAAUAAGCCAAAUCACAUGGCUAUACACAUAACAAACCAUUCAUCAUUUAUAAGCCAACUCAAAUGGCUAAACCUAUUACCAAACUAUAUACCAAAAUGACCAUAACUCCUAUACAUGCCAUAUAACCAAAUUACAUAAGUUCAAAAGUACCAAAGUAAUAGCUUGAUAGUGUGAUGAGAUCUCCGAUGACUCUUGAAUCCGAGCAAGCUUUGAUAAUCACUAUAAAACACGAAAAAGUAAAUAGAGUAAGCUACAAAGCUUAGUGAACUCGUAUGCUAAGUAAGUAAAACUUACCAACCAACAAUUCAAUAACAUAAACAUCAUAUAAUGCAAUUCAACUUUGAAGCAUAACUUAAUACAUAUAUUCAACCCAAGGAUUAAACACAAUUUCCAUCAACUUCUUCGAUUUUAUGAUUGUAUAGUUCACGUACAUACAUGUACAAGCUCUUAUUAAUCUCAUACUCGUCCAUAUCCUUGAUAUACCUAUUGAACCAUUUGGAAUACUAUCAGGUACCCGGGAAUCUCACACACUAAGUGCCAAUACAUAGCCGAAGCUAUCUCAAUCUCAUAUCACAUAUAAUGUUCACUCUCGAGCUAUCAACGGGUCUGCUCACACAAGUUGACGAUCAUGACAUAGCUACACGGUGCUGCUCACACAAGCUGACUAGAAUCCGCAACACAAGCCGAGUAACUCAGCCACCAGUAGGACGUACGGACUAGCACCCAAAUCACAUAACCCUUAAUGACAUGUCAUUUGUAUCCUAAUUUAUUCCUAAGGUUCAACUGGGAAUUCUCAUUACCGAAUCUUAGUCGAACAUUUUUGUACAAUCAUAUUCAUCAACAAUUCAAAUAUAAAAAAUUUAGAAACACAAUUAAAGUAAUGCUUCUUAACAUACAAACUUACCUCGAUUCACAAAAAUGACGGAAUGAAUCGAUUAAUCCAACACUUUGUUUUCCCUCAAAUCUAGAUCUGAACUUUAUUUUUCUUGAUUUAUAUAAUAUCAAAUUCAAUCUAUUCAUUAUUCAUUCUAUUCAAUUUAGCCCAAAAUGCAUAUUAUGGAAAAAUUACACUUUUGUCCCUAACAUUUCAAUAUAUUUACAAUUUAGUCCUUAGCUCAUAAAAAUAAAAAUUCAUGCAAUUAGGUCCCUACCCAUGCUAGCUGAAUUUCAUAUAGACCCAUAACAGCCCAUAUUUUUCAUUUAUUUCACAAUAUAAUCACAAAAUUUACACAUUUCACAAUCUAAUCCCUAAUUGGCAAUUUUACAAAAAAUCACUUUACAAAUGUUAUUUAUCUAACAACAACCAUUUAUUUUCUAUCAUCAAACAUCACAAGUCACACAUAUUCAUCAAUGGUAAAACCUUAAACCUUUCACAAUUUUGUAAAUUAGUCCCUAAGCUACCUAAAUUAAGCUGCAAUGAUCUCAAAACAUAGAAAUCAUUAAAAACGGGACAAAAAUCACUCACCAAUUUAACAAUAAAGUAGUCGAACCCUAGAAAGCUUCCAUGGAGGUCUCUCUCUUUUAUUUUUCGGUAGAAGAAGAUGACUAAAAGAUGGUAUCUUUGGUUUUCUUUAUUUUACUAAUUACUAAAUUACACUUUUAACCUUGGCUAUAAAACAUUAAAAUUACCUAAUACAUGUCCAAGUGUAACAUCUCGAAAUAGGGCCUAGUCGGAACAGUGGUUUCGAGACCAUAAAUCUGACAUUGAAAUAUUUUUUUAUGAUUAUUAUGAGGCCUGGAAUAUGAAAAUAUGCAUGUGUUGAAGUUUCAUGAAGAAAUUCUAUGAGUAAGGUGUCCAAUUGGAAAAUAAGGACCAAAUCGAAUAAUUUGUAAAACUUGGGUUCUAGAAACAAUUUGCAUGAAAUUGCUUUUAAUUAUAAAUUAAAAGGUCUUAAAUAGAAAUUUUCCCAAUUUCUAAGUUUUUGGACAAAAAUGGGCAUACAUGGAAAAUUUUGGAAGUUCAGUAAGGAAGGGCAUUUUGGUCAUUUGGUAAUAAAAUCAAUAAAAAGGGAAAAUGAAGGCAAAAAUCAGCCAUCUUCUCCCUUGUACCAGCCAAAAUUCUCAAGCCUUCCAUAGCUAGGGUUUUCAACAUUUUCAAGCUCAAUAGUAAGUGACUCCUAACCCCGUUUUUAAUGUUCUUUGUAUUGUUGAGAUCCUUGUAACAUGUUCUCUCCAUUUCCACCUAUAUUUUAAGCUAGGGUUCAUGUAUAAAAAGUGACCCAUGUGUGACAUGUUUGUUCUUUAAUGUUUUAUGGAGGAAUAUGAAAGUUAGAUGUGUGUUAAACAUCUUCUCCUAAGUGAUUUUCAUGAAAAGCCCCUAAAAGGAUGUUUUUGCAAAAGGUACAAAAUAUGUGGUAGAAAUGUGAAAUAGAGAAAAAUUUGGGCUAGUAUGAGUUUAUAAUGCAUUCGACUAGGCUUGGGUAACCAAAGAAUUGCAUGUAUAUCAUUUUACGAGCCUAGGGAUUAAAUCAUAAAUAAUGUGAAAGGUUAAGGGCAAAACAGUCAUUUUGUCUAGGGGUGAAAUUUAGGCUCAAAAAGAAUAAUGUGAGAUAUUGAUAAUUCAUUUUUAUUGUUAUAGACCCCAAGAAACAAAUUUUGGAGGUCGAUCAAGGAAAAUGAAAUGUUUCAGAAUAACCAAAAUGCGAAAUCGACACAAAUACCAGGUAAGUUCAAAUAACUUAAAGUAAACUCAUAAUAUGCCUAAAUGCAUGUUUUAUGAAUAUUAGAUAGUUUUAUAUAAUGAUGGCAUGAAAAUCCAUGAAAUGUGUUAAUAAUAAUGACAAGAUGAUAAAUGUCUCAGUUGAAGUUAAAAGGGAAAUUCGAUGGAAAAACCAUGGCUUACGUGACUUGAGAUCCUGCAUGUGUUGCAGAAAAGGGUUUAGCCCAGACGGGUAAUCCGUUGAUCUCAAAUAUAGAAAGGAUCUAGCCCGAACGGGUUUUCCUUGAAUGAUCAAGUCUCUUGAAGAAUAUGUGUGCAUUAAGGAUUUAGCUCAGACGGGUAAUCCGAUUAGGGUCUGAAUUUAGCCUGGACUGGUAAUUCAGACCUGAGCUCAUUAAGGUUGUUUGUCACUAUAAGGGAUUUAGCCUGGACUGGUAAUCCUGAAAACACUCCAUGAGUUUAUAUUACGGGGGAUUUAGCCUGGACUGGUAAUCCCGCUGUAAGAUAUGAGGUUCGUAGGAGUGCGUACUUAAGAAGAUCACUCUUAUGACUUGACGGUAAAUGGAUAAUCCAUCAAGAUUUUCGAGGUACUCAAUGGGAUUAACAUGAGAUAUCGAAAUGAAAAUAUUGGAUGAUGAGCUCAUCUAAGACAAAUUACAUUAUGAAUUAUUAUGGGACUAACUUGAUGCUUGAGUGUAUGUAAUAGGAGGCUAUCCUAUAUUUAUUGGAUUGGUUGCCUAACAUGGUUGUAUGCUAAUUAAUCGGUAAGUUUACUUUCCAAUUAUUCGGGCUUACUAAGCAUGUAAAUGCUUACCCCUCUCUUUUCCCUGUCUUAUAGAGCUCGAGGACUCGUAGAGAUUGGAAGACGGUUGGAGUAUUGUUGACACUAUCCACUUCUCCUGUUUUGGUAUAUAGAUACUUUUAUUUUGUUACAAUGGCAUGUAUAGAUUUUUGGUUAUUUGGUGUUAUAUGUCAUUGGUUGGCCAAUGUAAAGGCUUAAAUGUUAAACUUAUUCUUUUUGUAUAUGGCCAUAAGACAUGGCUCAUUUCAUUGUAGAUUAUGACCUACCAACCAUGCAUGUUUAUGUUAGAAAUGUUUUUGUGAUGAUUAAAUGUUGUAUAUCAUAAAUAAGCAUUCGUAAGGUGGCCAAAACAUUUGGAAAUGGUUAGGCCAUAAUUGGAAAUGAAUUGUAAUAAUGAUCCAAGCCUAAAAUAUGUUUCAAUAGGAUGGAAAUCCUUAUUAUGAAAAGGGGAUAAUUGAGUAUGUAUUUAACUGAUGAGAUGAGGUUGACAUGCAAUGGAUUCAUUGAUGAUAGUCCUUGAGUAUAUUUAAGUCAUGUUAAAUGCAAUUGGGGUUUUUAUAUGUGAGGAAAUGAUGAGGGUGACCAUUGGCUUGAAAUUAUAGCCUAAAAAGGGUCCACACGGGUAGACACACAAGUGUGUGUCUAGGCCGUGCGUGACACACGGUCAGCCCCAUGGGUGUGUGGUACGGUCGUGUGUCCCCUGCACCUAAAGUUUUUUCAGUCAAAAUGCAUGGUAGUAAACACACAGAAAGAGACAUAGUCGUGUGUCUCAGCCGUGUAGAGGGCACGGCCUAGCACACGGGCAUGUGUCUUGGCCGUGUGCCCCUAAAUACAUGCUGACAUCAUAAACAGAAUGUCCAGGUUUUUGGACAUGAGCUAUCACACAGGCGUGGCUAGGCCAUGUGAAAAACACGGGCCAGGGACACGGGCGUGUGCUUGGCCAUGUGAAAACCCUAUAGGUUCAAAAUAAAAAAUAAAUUUAAUUAAUUCCACACGAGUUAGGGACAUAGGUGUGUCCCCAAAGCACACGGGCGUGUGCAUUGUCUCCACACUGGUGUGUGAGGCUUAACCUAGAAAAUUUUCCUAAAAUUUUCUUAGGUUCUCGGUUUAGUCCCGGACCAUUCUCAAUGUAUGUUUUGGAUCUCGUAGGCCCAUAAUAGUGAUACUAAGAUGUUGUUUAAUUGGUUUUAAUUUGGAACAAAAUUUUUUAACCCGUAUUUUUCGAAAAUGUCUAAGUAUGUAUCUCGUAACGCCUUGUACUUGGUCUCGGUCUCAGGUACGGGUAAGGGAUGUUACACCGAGAAUGUCCACUAACUUUAUAAAUGGGCUAAUUACCACAUAAGGACCUCCACUUUCAGGUUCCAUAGCUAUAGAUACCUUUAGCUAAUAGAAUUCAAGUUUUACACUUUAUGCGAUUUAGUCCUUUUUAUCAAAUUGAACAUUCAAACUAUAAAAUUUCUUAAAGAAAUUUUCACACAAUCAUACUAUCGUACUGUAGACAUUAAAAUACUAAUAAAAUAAUUAUUUUGACCUCAGAUUUUUGGUCCCGAAACCACUGUUCCAAUUUGACUAAAAAUGGGUUGUUAUAGUUUGUUUCCCAAAAAUGUAAUGCUCGUAAAAACCUAAUUUGUAACGCCCCUCACCCAUAUCGACGCCAAAAUAGGUUCAAGCCGUUACCUGAGAUUCUCAUUCGUAAACAUAUUAAAUCAAGUCACUAAGUUGCGCUGUAAUUUAGAACUUUUCAAAUAUGUAUAUCCUUUCCCUUAAACAGGCCUUCGAGACCUAAAACAUGCCUAGAGGCGGUGCGGGACAAAACCAAGAACGUUUGAUAAACAUGGAGCACAUUGGAAAUUUUCUUUUAACUUGAAGUGUCACACGCCCGUGUGACUUGGGACAUGCCCGUGCAAUCACCCUGUGUCCAAGACUUGAACAUUCUAUUAAAUUCACACGGCCAAGACACACGCCCGUGUGUCUAGCCCGUGUUCAUUUAACAGACCUACCAUUUUAGAUGAAAUGGACACACGAUCAUGCCAUACACCCACGAGUGUGUCCCGUGUGUCACACAUAGCCUAGGCACAUGCCCGUGUACCCAACCGUGUCAACCCUAUUAGGCUAUUUUCGAAGCCUAUGGUCACCCCCUUUUAACACUUAUACUUAAUGAAUAUUAAAAACGAAGUAAAACAAGAUUAUGUUCUCAUAAAUGAUCUUUGCAAAAAACUUAUUGCAUGGAAACCUCAUAUCAUUGGUUUCGUACAUGCUAGGUUAUUUCCCAUCUUGUAUUUAUGUGUUGUCAUACCACUUUAACACAUUCAAGAUUGGCUCGUUCUUAUGACUCAUUGCUAAUUGGAAUUCAACCCUCGCACAUGAUUCUAAACUUGAAUGGAAAUUUUGUAGGUCAUAGCCUAUUUCAAAAUAAGCCAAUCUCCAUGGCGACAUACAAAAAGAUAGAAUUCUCUUUCAUGCCUUCAUUUGGUAAAUUAAAUGGCACAUAUAACAAAUUACUCAAAAGACCUAUACAUGCCAUUGAACAAAUCAAAAAUGUCUUUAUACCAAAGCUGAGCUAUUUGAUAGUAUGCUAACUCUCUAACCCUCUUCCAAUCUUUACAAGUCCUCGAGCUCUGGGAGAAACAGGGAAAAGAGAGGGGUAAGCAUUUUCAUGCUUAGUAAGCUCGAAUAACCAGACAGUAAACUUACCAAGUAAUUAGCAUGCAAUCAAGUUGGUUAAUAAAUUCAAUGAGCAUAGGAUGGCUUCCCUAUCACAUACACUCAAUCAUUGAGUUAGUCACAUAACAAUGCACUAUGAAAGAUAUCUUAGAUGAGCUCAUCAUUCAACAUCUCAUUUAGUAAAUAUAAGUCAUGUUAAUCUUGUUGAGUUUCUAGGAAGUUUCAAUGAUAUACCCAUUAACUGUCAAUUCGUAUGAAUGAUCAUUUCCAGUAUGCACUCCCGCGAACCUCACAUCUCAUGGCGGGAUUACCAGUCCAAGCUAAAUACCCCAUUUUAUGAACUCAUAAGUUGAUGUCGGGAUUACUAGUCCAAGCUAAAUCCCUUAUAACGAAAAACACUUUUAUUGAGCUCGGAUCUAAAUUACCAGUCCAGGCUAAAUUCAGAUCCUAAUCGGAUUACCCGUCUGGGCUAAAUCAAUAAUGCACACAUAUUCUUCGGGAGGCUCGACUAUUCAAAAGAACACCCGUCUGAGCUAGAUCGUUUUAUAAAUGAGAUCAACGGAUUACCCGUCUGGGCUAAAUCCUUUCUGCAACACAUGCAGGACCUCAUUACACAUGUCAAUCAUGGUUUAUCUUUCGAAUUCCCUUUUUAACCUCAACUGAGACAUUUAUCACAAUUCAUACUUAAACAUGCAUUUCAUAAAAUUUCAUGUUAUUAAUAAAUGCAAUCACCAUGUAUUCAUAAAUCAUAUAAUUAGGCACAUUGAGUGUUUACUUUAAGUUAUCCGAACUUACCUGGUAUUUGUUUCGGUGUCAUGUUUCGUUUAUUCUGAAACCUUUUGUUUUUCUCGAUUGACCUCCGAAAUUUGUUCCUCGAGGUCUAUAACAAUAAAAAUAGAUCAUUAACACUCCACAUUAUACAUUUCAAGUCUAAAUUCCACCCUCGGUCCAAAUGACCAUUUUGCCCCUAACCUUUCACAUUUUUACGAUUUAGUCCCUAGGCUCGUAUGAUGAAACACACGCAAUUUAUACUUUACUCAAGCCUAGCCAAACACUUUUCCCUCUUAUGGUAGCCUACAUUUUCCAUUAUUUUCACAUUCCUACCACACAUUUUACAACUUUUGCAAAAAGGUCCCUUUAGGGGUUUUUCAUGAAAAUCACCUAGGAAAAGUUGUUUAACACACAUCAAACUUUCAUAUUCCUCCAUAAAACAUCAAAAUACAAUUAACUCAUGCAUGGGUAAAUUUUUAAACAUGAACCCUAGCAUGAAAUAUUGGUAGAAAUGGAGAUAGUAAGCUACCGGGAUCUCAAAAUUACGAAGAACAUUAAAAACGGGGCUUGGGAGCACUUACUAAUGAGCUUGAAAAUCUUGGAAACCUUAGCUAUGGUGGCUUAUGAAUUUCAGCUGGACAAGGGAGAAGAAUGGCUGAUUUUUGCCUUCUUUUUCCCAUUUUAUUUCAUUAAUAUGCCACAUGACCAAAAUGCCCUUACGCCAUUUCUUUGAAAUUUCAUCCAUCCAAGCCCAUUUUUUUCCAAAAACAUAGAAAUUGGGAAAGUUGCUCCCCAAGACCUUCUAUUUUAUAAUCUAAAUCAAUUUCAUACAAAUUGCUUCUAGAAUCCAAGUUUUGUAAUUUAUUCAAUUUAGUCCCUAAUUUUCCAAUUGGGCACUUACUCAAAGAAUUCCUUCAUGAAACUUUAACACAUGCGUAUUCUCAUAUUGUAAGCCUUGUAAUAAUCAUAAAAUAAAUAUUUUGAUGUCUGAUUUGUGGUCCCGAAACCACUAUUCCAACUAGGCCCUAUUUUGGGAUGUUACAUUUCUCCCCCCAAGGACUUUCGUCCUCGAAAGUCUUACCAGUGAACUGAUUCGGAUAUUGGCUUCUCAUGGAUUCUUCUGGUUCCCAUGUAGCCUCUUCUACACCAUGUCGAUGCCAUAAAACUUUUACUAAGGCCACAUAUUUAUUCCUCGGCUGUUUAACCUCACGAGCCAAUAUCUUAACUGGUUCCUCUUCAUAGGUCAUGUCUAGUCGAAUUUCAAUCUCAGUCAGUGAAAUCACGUGAGAGGGGUCUGAUCAGUAUCGCCUUAACAUAAAUACAUAGAACACAUCGUGAAUCUUUUCCAAUUCAGGUGGAAAUGCCAAGUGAUAGGCUACCGGUCCAACUCUUUCAAUGAUCUCAUACGGUCCGACAAAUCGCGGAUCCAGUUUGCCUUUUGGGGCAAAUCUCAACACCUUUUUUCCAUGGAGAUACUUCCAAGAAUACUCUAUCUCCAACUUGAAACUCAAUUUCCUUUCUUUUCAAAUCAACAUAUGAUUUUGCCUAUCCGAUGCCGCUUUCAAACAGUCUCGUAUCACUUUAAAUUUCUCUUCAGUUUCUUUAAUCAAAUCAACUCUGUGAAUCUGAUUUUCCUUAAGUUAUGUCCAGUACAAUGGAGUUCAGCACUUCCUGCCAUACAAGGCCUCAUAAGGUGCCAUCUUCAAACUCGUCUGAAAACUAUUGUUGUAGGCGAAUUAUACUAGUGGCAAAUAUUUUUCCCAACUACCCUGAAAUUCAAGGACGCAACAUCGCAACAUAUCCUCAAGAAUCUGAAUCAUCUGCUCAGACUAACCAUCUGUCUAAAGGUGAAAAGCUGCACUAAAGCUUAACUUCAUACCCAAGGCUUCUUGUAAUUUCUUCAAGAAUCUCGAAGUGAACCUCGGGUCUCAGUCGGAAAUAAUUAAUAGUUGUACCCCAUGAAAUCUUACAAUCUCAGAAAUGUAUAAGUCGGCAAAUCUAUCGAGGGAAUAAUAUGUCCUCAACAGAAUAAAAUAAGCCAACUUCGUCAACUUAUCUACUAUGACCCAUACGGCAUUUUUCUUCUUCGAAGUCAAUGGUAAUCCUGUCAUGAAAUCCAUAGUAACUCUAUCCCACUUCCAUUCGGGGACAAUCACAGGCUGUAGAAAACCUGAAGGCACUUGAUGUUCAACUUUAACUUGCUGACAUACCAGGCAUUUCGACACAAAUUUAGAAAUCUCUCUUUUCAUGCCGUUCCACUAGUAUGUUUUCUUCAAAUCAUUGUACAUCUUGGUACUUUUCGGGUGAAUUGACAAACGGCUGUUAUGUGCUUCUUGCAAAAUUUUCCGAAUAAGUUAAUUGUUUUUGGGUACACAAAUCGUAUCUCUGAACAUCAAACAUCCAUCAGAAACAAUCCAAAAAUUUGAUUCAAUACCUCACUCACAUUGAGUUUGUUUAGCUUGAAAGCUAUCAUCAUUAGUUUGAGCAUCAUAGAUUUCAUGAAGGAAUGUCGGCCUAGCCUUUAGCUCAGCCAAGACUGAACCAUCAUCAAGCAAUGCCAAACGAGCAUCCAUAGCCCUUAAUGCAAACAAGGAUUUUCUGUUCGACACGUCAGCGAUCACAUUCGCCUUUCCCAGGUGAUAAUCAAUAAUUAGUUCGUAAUCCUUGAUUAACUCUAGCCACCUCUGCUGCCUCAAAUUUAAUUCUUUUUGAGUUAUCAAAUACUUCAAACUCUUGUGGUUAGUGAAUAUGUGGCAAGUCUCACAAUAUAAAUAAUGUCUACAAAUUUUCAAAGCAAAAACGAUGGCGGCAAGUUUUAGGUCGUGUGUAAGAUAGUUCUUCUCAUGCGGCUUCAACUAUCGUGAAGCAUAGGCUAUUACUUUGCCAUCUUGCAUAAGUACACAACCCAGUCUAUUUGAGGAUGCGUCACUGUAGACUACAAAUUAUUUUCCCGACUCAGGUAAUACUAAAACAGGAGCUUCAGUUGACAGUGUUUUUAACUUCUAAAAACUUUGUUGACACUUUUCCGUCCAUUCAAACUUAAUGUUUUUCUGUAACAAUCUCAUCAUUGGAGUUGCUAUCAUGGAGAAUCCUUUCACAAAUCUUCGAUAGCAACCAGCUAAGCCCAAAAAGCUUCUAACCUCAGUUACAUUUUUAGGUGGUUUCCAUUCAAUAAUAGCAGAGAUCUUACUUGGAUCGACUAGGAUGCCUUCACCAAAAACAAUAUGACCUAAAAAUCCAACUUCCUAAAGCCAAAACUCACUCUUGCUAAACUUAGCAUACAGCUGCUUUUCCCGCAAAGUCUGCAACACAAUUCUCAAGUGCUUCGCGUGCUCUGUCUUAUCUUUGGAAUAAAUCAAUAUGUCGUCAAUGAACACAACGACAAACUUGAUCAAAUAUGGCUGUAAGAUCCUAUUCAUUAGGUCUAUAAAUACAGCUGGUGCAUUCAUCAGCCCAAAUGGCAUGACAAGAAAUUCAUAAUCGCCAUACCUUAUCCUAAAGGCUGUCUUAGGUACAUCCAAUUCUUUAACUCGCAACUGGUAAUAGCCAGACCCUAAGUCUAUCUUAGAGAACACGGUGGCUCCUUUCAACUGGUCAAACAAAUCAUCAAUCCUUGGUAAAGGAUACUUAUUCUUGAUAGUUACCUUGUUCAGUUGGCUGUAAUUUAUACAUAACCUCAUCGAACUAUCCUUCUUCCUUACAAAUAGAACGGGAGCACCCUAAGGUGAAAAGCUCGGCCUUACAAAACCUUUAUCCGUCAGCUCUUGCAACUGUGCUUUCAACUCUCUCAGCUAGGUUGGUGCCAUCCUAUACGGAGCAAUUAAAAUAGGAUCUGUCCUUGGCACCAGCUCAAUACCAAAUUCUAUUUCCCUUUCAGGAGGUAAUCCGGGUAAUUCUUCUAGAAAUACAUCUGGGUACUCACAUACUAUAGGCACAGAUUCAAUCUUCAACUCUGUUUCCUUAGUGUUCAAUACAAUUGCAAGGUAGGCUUCAUACCCUUUUCUCAUAUAUCUCUGAGCAACCAUUGCCGUGAUCACAACCGAAAGCGUACCCAACUCUCUUGAAUCAACCCAUAGAAAUUCACCAUCCGGACAUUUCAAUUUAAUAUACUUACCACCAUAAUUUACAAUUACAUCAUGCAGUGCUAACCAAUCCAUACCAAAUAUUAUAUCAAAUUCAUCAAAUGGUAACAACAUAAGAUUAGCCAGAAAACAAUGACCCUGAAUUGUCAAAGGACAAUUCUUACAGACUUUAUCAACUAUGACUGAUCUGCCUAGUGAGUUCGACACUUUAAUAAUAAAUUCCGUAGGCUCAAUGAGUAUGUUCAUUCUAGAUACCAAGCUCAUACAAAUGUAUGAAUGCGUCGACCCCGGGUCAAUUAAGGCAAUAACACAUGUAUCGAAAAGAGAAAAAGUAUCCGUGAUAACAUUAGGAGCAGAGGCUUCCUCUCGGGCGCGUACCGCAUACGUUCUUGCCGGAGGUUGAGCCUCUAAUUUUGCAGCAUCUUUAACCACAACUCAACUGUCACUGGCACUUCCAAGAUAUCUCGGAGGUCUACCUCAUGAAAUGGGAGUACUCGACUUCAGGGCUACUUUCACUUCUUUCUCGACUCACUCUAGGCAGUCCCUGAGAAAGUGGUCAAGAGAUCCACAUCUGAAACAUGCACGUCUCUUCACUCGGCACUCUCCGAAGUGAAAUUUGUUGCAACUCCUACACUUCAGCUUUUGAUCAUCUACACUCCCCACACUAGUUACCAUCAGGGAGGAAGACUUUUGGCUUCUUCGUUUAGAGCUUCUCGCUCUACCCAAAUAUCCUACUGAUGAAAUGGAGCGUUCAUGCUGGCUCUUUGAUUUCUUGUGGGAAACAAGAGUGUUCUACCACUAGACCUCUUGCUCGCGGCUUAGGCCUCUCUCUUUGUUUGCUUUCUUUCGUUGUUAAGCUCCCCGACCUUCUUGGCCCGAUCAGCCAAUGCAACAACCUCUCAUAUUUCAAGGAUCCCAAUCAACAACUUAAUUUGCUCCUUCAGACCUUCCUCGAAGCGUUUACACAUUUUUGACUCGGUUUGGAGCCAUUCAGUUGCGUGCUGACUUAGCCUCACGAACUCUCGUUCAUAUUCUGCUUCAGUCUUGUUCCCUUGUUUGAGUUUUAGGAACUCAUUUCGUUUCAAGUCUAGAAACCGUUGGCUAAUGUAUUUCUUCCUAAACUCUAUUUAGAAGAAAUCUCAAGUGAUAUUUUCCUUUGGCACUACCGAGGAUACAGUCUUCCACCAAUGAUACGCAAUAUCUUUUAGGAGGGACACGGCACACUUCAAACGCUCCUCAGGUGUGCACGACAAAUCAUCUAACACUGGUGUAGUAUUCUCAAGCCAAAACUCGGCUCUUUCAGCAUCAUCAUCAACUUUAGCUCUGAAUUCCUCAGCCCCAUACUUUCUAAGCUUAUCAACAGGGGCUUUACCAAUUCUUACCGGUGCCCUACCUCGUGGCACAUCCUCAUUAGGUUGGUUAGGGGGCGGGGGAGGUCUUGGUAUGUUGGGGCGAUUCCUCAGGUAAUCCCCAAACCAUUCGUCCUUCAUAAGCCUUCUACUACUACUAGUAGAUACAGCUCGUUGUAUGAAAGCUGGAGCAUGGCUCUCAGCUCCCUCGGACUCAUCUUGUGUUUGAUUGGAAGACAUUUACUAUAUUCAAAACAAUUUAAACAGUUAGGAGACGUCAUACUAUCAAUAUUCGAAUGAUGGUAUGUAUAGCAAACCUCAAUACUCUCUACGAUAGUCCUAGAACUGACUAAAUCGUAGCUCUGAUACCAUUAAAUAUAACACCCUUUACCCGUUACUUGAGAUUCUCGUUCAUAAACAUAUUAAAUCUAAUCACUAAGUUGCACUCUAAUUUAAAACUAUUCAAAUAUGUAUAUCAUUUCCCUUAAACAAGCCUUCGAGACCUGAAACAUGCCUAGAUGCAGUACGGGACAAAACCGAAAACGUUUGAUAAACUUGGGGCACCUUGGAAAAUUUCUUUUAACUUGAAGUGUCACACGCCCGUAUGACUUGGGACACUCCCGUUCAAUCACCCCGUGUCCAAGACUUGAGCAUUCUAUUAAAUUCACACGGCCAAGACACACGCCCGUGUGUCUAGCCCGUGUUCAUUUAACAGACUUACCAUUUUAGAUGCAGGGGACACACAACCAUGCCACACACCUACGGGUGUGGCCCGUGUGUCAUACACGGCCUAGGCACACGCCCGUGUACCCAACUGUGUAAACCCUAUUAGGCUAUUUUCCAAGCCUAUGGUCACCCCCUUUUUAACACUUAUACUUAAUGAAUAUUAAAAACGAAGUAAAACAUGAUUAUGCUCUUAUAAAUGAUCUUUGCAAAAACUUAUUACGUGGAAACCUCAUAUCAUUAGUUUCGUACAUGCUAGGUUAUUUCCCAUCUUGUAUUUAUGUGUUGCCAUACCACUUUAACACAUUCAAGAUUGGCUCGUUCUUAUGACUCAUUGCCAAUUGGAAUUCAACCAUCGCACAUGAUUAUAAACUUGCAUGGAAAUUUUGUAGGUCAUAGCCUACUUCAAAAUAAGCCAAUCUCCAUGGCAAUAUACAAAAAGAUAGAAUUAUCUUUACAUGCUUUCAUUUGGAAAAUUAAAUGACACAUAUAACAAAAUACUCAAAAGACCUAUACAUGCCAUUGAACAAAUCAAAAAUGUCUUUAUACCAAAGCUGAGCUAUUUGAUAAUAUGCUGACUCUCUAACCGUCUUCAAUCUUUACGAGUCCUCGAGCUCUAGGAGAGACAGGGAAAAGAGAGGGGUAAGCAUUUUCAUGCUUAGUAAGCUCGAAUAACUGGAAAGUAAACUUACCAAGUAAUUAGCAUGCAAUCAAAUUGGGUAAUAAAUUCAAUGAGCAUAGGAUGGCUUCCCUGUAGCACCCCAAACCCGGCCUAGACGUUAUGGUCGGAUCCGACAUGCCACAUCGAAGCAUUCAAAACAUUUUAUAUUAUUGGUCCAGAAAAUCUUAUUUAGUGUUUUAAAAGAUAAUUUUAUUAUAGGUUAAAGUGAAUGGAAGCUAUGCACCAGGUAGGAAACCGAAAAAGAGGUGGUGAGUCCAUCGGACUGCGUAAGUACCAAGAUCCCUUCGGAUCCAAUCCUAGACAUGCAUACUGCCAUUGUCACACCUUAACGUCAUGGAUAUUUCUAGGAAACCGAUUUGAUUAAGUCAUUUUUAGGAAAAGUGAUUAAUUUUGGAAAACACUUUCAUUGCGGAAGCUUUAUUUGUUGUCGUGUUAUUUUGAAAUCAAUUGUUGUUUUUGAAAACGCACCCUAAAGCUAUCCAAUUUCAACAGUUAAAAUAAGUAAUACCUAUCUUAGUAAUACAUAUUAAAACCAUCAAAAAUAAUUAAGUGGCCUUAUUACAUUUAAAAACCCAAAACUUCAAACGUAAAUAACAGGAUAUCCAUUUCACCGGAAGAAAAUCAAACUUUCAGAAUGGGUGGCCACUCCAAAUUCCCUCACAACUCUAAGCCCACUAUGGUUGGGGAUUUCCUGCGUGGAUGAAAAUAAAAAGGGUGAGUUUGGGGAAACUCAGUGUAUAAGGAAAACCCAUUCAAAGCCCAAGUCAGCUCAAGCCAUUGGGCCUAAGCCCAUUCAGGUAACAGUGGUACUGGGCCAGAGCCCUUUUCAGAUUACAAUAAACUGGGCCUUAGCCCCUUAUUCAGAUAACAGUAUGGCCCAUAGGCCCAUUUCAAAAUACAUGCAACAUCAAUAACAUAUGCAAGCCCAUUUGGGGAGACUACUCAACCCACCAACCACUACACUCCACCCGUACCAGUCAUACACUCCAUGUGGGGAAUAGCUCAACCCACCCAGCCCAACACUCCACAGUUGCAGCCUUGCUGCUCAGUUAACAGUAAAUUGAGGCAAAGCCUCCAGUACGUGGACAAGCCACUUUCAGUACUUCCUCCGUCAAUAUCCCAGUCCCAUGCAUCAGAUAAUAACAACAUGGCAUGCAGUAAAUAACAACAGUCAAACAUGCAUUUAGGUCAAUUUAACCCUAGCGGUAUUUCGAUAAUUUAUCUCCUAGGGAUAAAACUGUAAAUUUUCCACUUUUAAAGGUAUUUCAGUAAUUUAUCUAUUUUAGGGUUUUUCAUGCAUAUUCCUACCUUUCACGUACUAACAGAAUCACGUACCGAGGGUUCUUACCGAAUUGGGCCCGUUGGUCAAUCAUUCCAAUUUUGGCCCAUUAAGCCCAAAAAUAUCGAGGGCACAAAAAUCAUGCACUUUGCAGUCCAAACACUGCAGCUUACCAAAAACAUUAAUCGAUUUACCUCACGAGCAUUCGCACACUCGCAAAUCUACAAAAUAUCGAUUUUUGACAUUUCGGCUUUUUGGCUUUUGCCGAUCUAGACUAAGAAAGAGGGUGUUAGUUACACACCUGUUUGCGACGAUAUGCUGACGAGAUCCACACACGAACUGCCUACAAUUGGAUUACUAACACGUUAAUCUAACUAUUCAAAUACAAACUACGUAUUAACCCCUUACAAUAUUCGGCCAACCACACCUACAAAUCAUAGUAAGCUUAUAAGAAAUCAAUAAGCAACUCAUUAACAAAUUUUUAUCAAUGUUUACCACAUAAUCAUAAUUUCACUGCAAGCUAUCUUCCUGAGCAAUAGUCACUAAAUUAUUUAUAACUGGAGCUACGAAACUCCAAAUCAAGUGCCAUUAAUUUUCCAUGAAAAUAGACUCAUAUAUCUUCUAUCCAUAAAAUUUCAGAAUUUUUUGGUCUAGCCAAUCAAUACCAGAUUUUUCUCAAAGUUUCCCAUGUUUCACUAUUUGACUAAUCUGACCACUCUUCAUUACGAAUCAAAUUUCUCAUUGUACAGAAUUUAAAAUAUGUUCUUGUUUAUUUCAUUAGAACCUAGACUCAAUAAGCUUUAAUUACAUAAUUUAUUCAGCUUCAAAUUCAUCUCCCACAAUUUAUGGUGAGUUUCCAAAGUCACAUUACUGCUGCUGUCCCAAGCAGAUUUAUUACCAAAUCACUCUUUCACACAUACCUUGCAUGCAUGUUAUUUAAACAUGUAUAUCACCAAUCAAUCAUCACAUAUCUAUGAUUUUACUUAAGAAUAAUCUCCAUUUCAUCAUUUUAAAGCACAACAUGUUAGCUGAUUUUUCCCUUUAACAUCUAAGGCACAUGCAUGCUCAUUUGUUUGGCUCAACUUCACCUAUCUUCCAUUUUUUUCAUCAAAAGAACAUGAAAAAACAACCAUUUCCUUAAUUUUAAUUCAUGACUAAAUGCUCACAACACAACUAAAAACCAAAAUAUGCUUCAAGAGUUAAGGUAGAAUCAAGAAGAACUCAUGAACAUCAAGAUAGAAGCCAACUACCAUGAACUUACCUUCAAUUUUCUUCCCCAAGUGACCGAACACUCAAGAGCUUUCUCCUCUCCUUUCUCUUCUCUAACUUUCAGCUAUGAUGAACAAAGAUGGACAAGACUUUGUUCUUUUCACCCCUUUUUCUUUUAAUAAAACUUCAUAUUUCAUCCAUUUAAUUCUUUAAUACAAAAGACAUGAAAUUCUUAUCAUGAAACAUUUACCUAACCCAUUAUCAUGAAACAUUUACCUAACCCAUUAUCAUGGAACAUUUACCUAACCUAUUAUCAAUUUAUAUCAAUUUGUACCAUAAAUUAUGGAUAUCAAGUGUACAUUUUGUCUACAACAACAUGAUGGCUGGCCACUUCAUGUAAAAUGGGAGGUUUGUCAUGCAAAUCCUCCUAUUUUGCACUCCUAUUUAUUUGGUCACUUCAAUUUAGCCUAUAGCAUUUUCAAACAUUUUCACAUAGGUCCUAUUUCAUAAUUUCACUCACAAAUGACAAAAAUUAAGCAUGAAAUUUUGCCAACAUUCACAGAAUUCCCGAAAAUUGGGGCGUUACAUUCCCUAUCACAUACACUCAAUCAAUGAGUUAGUCACAUAACAAUGUAUAAUGAAAGUUAUCUUAGAUGAGCUCAUCAUUCAACAUCUCAUUUUGUACAUAUAAGUCAUGUUAAUCUUGUUGAGUUUCUAGAAAGUCUCGAUAGAAUACUUAUUAACCGUCAAUUCGUAUGAAUUAUCAUUUCCAGUAUGCACUUCCGCGAACAUCACAUCUCAUGGCAGGAUUACCAGUCCAGGCUAAAUCCCCCAUUUUAUGAACUCAUAAGGUGAUGUCAAGAUUACAAGUCCAGGCUAAAUCCCUUAUAACAACAAACACCUUUAUUGAGCUUGGAUCUGAAUUACCAGUUCAGGCUAAAUUCAGAUCCUAAUCGGAUUACCCGUCUGGACUAAAUCCAUAAUGCACACAUAUUCUUCGGGAGGCUUGACCAUUUAAAGGAACACCCGUCCGGGCUAGAUCCUUUUAUAAAUGACAUCAACGGAUUACUCGUCUGGGCUAAAUCCUUACUGCAACACAUGCAGGACUUCAUUACACAUGUCAAUCAUGGUUUAUCCAUCGAAUUCCCUUUUUAACCUCAACCGAGACAUUUAUCACAAUUCAUACUUAAACAUACAUUUCAUAAAAUUUCAUGUUAUUAAUAAAUGCAAUCAUCAUGCAUUCAUAAAUCAUAUAAUUAGGCACAUUGAGUGUUUACUUUAAGUUAUCCGAACUUACCUGGUAUUCAUUUUGGUGUCGUGUUUUGGUUAUUUCGAAACCUUUCGUUUUCCUCGAUCGACCUCCAGAAUUUGUUCCUCUAGGUCUAUAACAAUAAAAAUAGAUCAUAAACACUCUAAAUUAUAUAUUUCAAGUCUAAAUUCCACCCCCGAUCCAAAUGACCGUUUUGCGCCUAACCUUUCACAUUUUUACAAUUUAGUCCCUAGGCUCGUAUAAUGAAAGGCAUGCAAUUUCUACCUUACUCAAGCCUAGCCGAACACUUUUCCCUCUUAUGGUAGCCCACAUUUUUCAUUAUUUCCACAUUCCUGCCACACAUUUUACAACUUUUGCAAAAAGGUCCCUUUAGGGGUUUUUCAUGAAAAUCACCUAGAAAAAGUUGUUUAACACACAUCAAACUUUCAUAUUCCUCCAUAAAACAUCAAAAUACUAGUAACUUAUGCAUGGGUAAAUUUUUAAACAUGAACCCUAGCAUGAAAUAUUGGUAGAAAUGGAGAGAGUAAGCUACCGAAAUCUCAAAAUUAAGAAGAACAUUAAAAACGGGGCUUGAGAACACUUACUAAUGAGCUUGAAAAGCUUGGAAACCCUAGUUAUGGUGGCUUGGAGAUUACGGCUGGACAAGGGAGAAAAAUGGUUAAUUUUUUCCUUCUUUUCCCAUUUUAUUUCAUUAAUAUGCCACAUGACCAAAAUGCCCUUAAGCCCUUUCUUUGAAAUUUCAUCAAUGCAAGCCCAUUUUUGUCCAAAAACUUAGAAAUUAGAAAAAUUUCUCCCCAAGACCUUCUAUUUUAUAAUCUAAAGCAAUUUCAUACAAAUUGCUUCUAGAAUCCAAGUUUUGCAAUUUAUUCAAUUUAGUCCCUAAUUUUCCAAUUGGGCACUUACUCAAAGAAUUCCUUCAUGAAACUUUAACACAUGUAUAUUCUCAUAUUCUAAGCCUCGUAAUAAUUAUAAAAUAAAUAUUUUGAUGUCGUAUUUGUAGUCUCGAAACCACUAUUCCGAUUAGGCCCUAUUUUGGGGUGUUACAUAAUUUACCAACUCCAAUGUCUUUGGGAAAAAUUUUAUUGCACAAGACUAUUAUAUCUUCCUCACUCAUAUGACCUAGUUGCAUGUGCCAAAGUUUUGUUGAGUCGGAAUCGAUGAAGAAAGAGUCACGUCGUGUCGCCGUGACGUGGUGGGAAUUUCGACUUUUCUUCAGUAAUCGCAGCCACACCAGUAAUUGUUGACCCUUGCAAAACGUAUAGGCUGCCCUUUUCCUCUCCCCUCAUCAUAAAAGAGCCUCAGAGAAACUUUUAAGUCAUUUGACUCAAUGACUAUCCUGCAACCAUUAGAAUCCAAAAUUCCCAAUGAGAUAAGAUUUUUCUUUAAAUCAGGAACAUACCUGACAUAUGAAAGUGUUUGAAUAAUCCUGUCAUGCAUCUUAAUUUGUAUCGUUCCAAUUCCGAAUAUUUUACAUGGGAGAGUUAUUCCCGAUCAGCACAACUCCACCUUCAACUUAACUAUAUGUAGAGAACCAGUCCCUGUUGGGAUACAUGUGACAGGAGUACUCUGAAUCUAAGUUCCAUUCAGAAGUAAGAUGAUAGCUUUUGCUCGUUGACACCAACAAGAAAUUAUCACAUUUAUCCUCAACUACACUAGCAUCAACAACGUCGGCUUUUUGCUUAUCUUUCUUAUCGUUUUCAUCAUCAUUUUUUAUAUUAUUUUGAAAUUUCCAACAUUCUGCCUUAACAUGGCCCGCCUUUUUACAAUAACCACAAUAUUUGUGAUGAUUUCUGGAGUUGGACCUUGCUUUAGACCUAUUUUGAUCUGUCUUUCUGGUUUGUCAUUUGCCUCUUGCAACUAGAACUGAGGUUUGCCCGUAUGAUUUUUUGUUUGGGCUUAACUCAUUAUUGAGUUUAUCCUUACUCAGAAGAUUCCCCUUCACAUCCUCGAACGAGUGAUGGUAUCUCCCAUAAAUCAAAGUUUCCCUGAAAGUUUUAUAAGAAAAAGGCAAAGAGCAUAACAAUAACAUAGCUUGAUCCUUAUCACUAAUAUUUGCUUCGAGAUUCUAUAAGUCUUUAAAAAGGGUAACAAACUCGCUAAUAUGAGUUUUGAUGGACUCACCUUUAGCCAUUCUGAACAUGUAGAAAUGUUGUUUUAAUACUAACCUGUUGGCUAGAGAUUUUGUCAUAUAUAAGGUUUCUAGUUUCUUCCAUAACAUAAACGAUGUUUUCUCCUUCAAAACCUUCUAUAACACAUUAUUCGUGAGAUAUAAUUGAAUAAUGGAUAGAGUCUUUUCAUCGAGCUCUUCCCAUUCUGACUGAUCCAUAUCUACGAGCUUUUUCCCUGUAAUGACCUUUUUCAGACCGUUCUAAACCAAUAUUGUUGUCAUUCAAACUUUCCACAAACUAAAAUUUACAAUUCUUCAAACUUCUCAAUAUCAAACCUUGACGUUGCCAUCUCUAAACGGGUUGACUGUAAAAAUUAAACUAGCUCUGAUACCAUUUUGUGGGGGAAAAACCCAUUAAGCAAUGAAUAAAGUAAAUAAAAUAAGAAUCGAAAAGAUCGAACAUGUAAAUUUUGCAUGGAAAACUCCUCAAGAGAGGAUAAAAACCACGGGAAAAAACAAAUUUCACUAUAAUAAAGGAGAGUACAAAAGAUGGAGGAGAGAAUUAAAAGAAAACCCGAAGCCCUUCAAGAAAAACCCUUCAAAACAAAGAAUAAAAUUCUCUCAAUCUAAAUAAAUUUUUGUUAUGUAAAACCUAGAGUAACUAAGGACUAUUUAUAGUUGAAAUUUGUAGCAUAUAUGACUACAACAAUUAGAGUUUAAGUGGGAAAGUAGAAACAAAGUUUAACUAGGAGAAAAAUAAAUUUUGGUCAAAAUAAGAGGCAUUCUUCCACACCUUUCCAAAUAAUACCUUAAGAGAGUGUCACAAAGUUACCCAAUGGAAUAGCAAGAUACAAAAGCUUAAGAUACUCCAAAACAGCAAACAAAGUGAGACCACACUAUUGCCUAUUUAUAGGCGUCUACAAGUGAUUAUAAGAUAGUGUUUUGAUAAGCUUUAAACUCUCCUUUAAAAGUUGAAAUUAUCAAAUUAAUUAUCUUGAAUAUUUAUCACAUAAAAGACUUUAUAACCAAGUUUUCCAAUAGCUUCAAACACUCUAAAAGGUAAGGAUAAGGAUAAGUGCCCAAAUUUCGAACUCCUCUCCUUCCUAGGCUAAUCAAAUGGAUGAUAAUCAUAUUCCAAUUUACCAAGAAAUUCUCUUAUCAUUUGUUGUUAACUAAUAUUAGAACAUAAGCCAUUAAAAGUCAAACAUGCCAACACCCAAAAAUGUUGAUUGCUCCAAAAAGCUUGUUUUAAUUGUUGUUCAAACAAGUCAGUACAAUUUCCAACAAAAAUUAAUAAUAACUAAAAAAUAUUAAAAAAUAAAAAAAUAUAUUUAAUAAAUGAAAAAUCAAAUAAAACCUAAUAAAAAGCUCAACCUUUUGUUAAAAAAAAUCAAAUAACUGAUAGUGUCUAGGAGAUGAGGAGUUAUACAUUUAAAUAUAUUGUAUUAUAUUAUUAUGUCGUAUAUUAAAUUAACAUUUAUAAUCUUUUUUUUUAAGGAAACCGUUAGUCUCAUAUUUUCGUCUUCUGUUUUUUUUUUCCGGUUAACAACAAAACUAGAAAAUACUGCACUUACACAUGUAUAUAUGUUGACCAUAUCUAAGAAAUAUGUUACUGAAUCAUGUGAAAUUCAUUCCCUUGAGCCAAGAAAAAGGAACGUAAAAUCAUGUGAGUUCACGUGGCAAUUAGGUAGAAAUUAGACAACUUGUCUAUGCUUCAAUCAUUAUGAGGCAAACCAAGACAAGUUCAACUUUUUUUUUAUCCUCUCACUGUGAAACCUUUUGCAGGAAGACUUAGGAACAAUAGCUAAGCCUAAAUCCUGCUAGAAUCACAACAUAUUGUUUUGUUUAUUAAAAAAAAAAGAUGAUAUUGGUCUUUGAUAUGUAAAAUUGAUCUAUACAUGCAUUGAUGUUGAGCAAUUUUUGUUUGAGGAGUUAACCGCUACAUUAUAUAGAAGUAAUUAACGUCUUGGGGAUUUUUUAUGCAAAAAAAUAUAUACAUAAAUUUAUAUGAAAAAUACAUGGUUAAAAAAAUUUGUAAAUAAAGCCUUGACAUGGUAGGUAAAAGUGGAAGCUAUAGGCUUUGAGUAACCAUAUUCAAGACCCACCGUACACAGUUGAAUGUAUGGGUUUUAAAGUCCUAUUAUUAAUUGUUAUGUGUUGGUUUUAGUUUGAUUAAUUAUAUUAUAACUUACAUUGUUUCUGUUUAUAAUUUAUAUUUUAUGUAAUAGAUUGAUUUUUUGUCUUAAUUUUUAGUCUAUUUAAAUGAUAUAAUUGUUUAAUUCUACACUUAAUAGUUACUUUGACCUAUAUUUAUAUUUUAAUUUUUCUGUAUUUUUAAACUUUAAAAAAACAUAUAUUUAUAUAUAGAAAGUUUAUGAAUAAAAUUUCUUUUUUCGAAAAACAAUAGAAAGCAUACGCAUUUAAUAUUUGGCAAAAAUAAAGUGAGUAAUGAAAGAUUGAAUUAAGGCAAACUAUAUUUGAUAGCAUCUUUGAUUGGUAAAGCCACCAAUAUCAGAAAACCGGAAACACUAAGACUAAUACGAUGCAUUAAUCAGCGGAGUAGUUCAGCAUUAGUGAUGAAGAUGAAAGUGGUAGAUACAAACCUUUUUCAAAGCAUUAAACACACUCAACCAUAAGCUGAAACAUGAAAAAGAAAGAAAGAAACCUUGGCAUUGAAUUGGGCCAACUACCAACGCCUAACCAUAUACUAUUCGUACGUGUUUCUCAGUUCUUUUGAUAUCCCUUCACUCAACUUUUGGCUAUAAAAACCCUCCUACGCUCAAGCCCUAACCACGACAAUCAGCUAUAGUACUUCUACUCCAAGCAAGCAUUUUCCUUUUCUUGUGAUUAAUCGAUAUGGCUAGCUCAAUGUCCCUUAAGCUUGCAUGUGUGGUGGUGUUGUGCAUGGUGGUGGGUGCACCCCUGGCUCAAGGGGCCGUAACCUGUGGUCAAGUCACAAGCUCCCUCGCACCCUGCAUUAAUUACUUGAGAGGGACUGGUGCUGGUGCUAUUCCCCCAGGUUGCUGCAGCGGCAUCAAAUCUCUCAACUCCGCCGCCCAAACAACACCAGACCGGCAAGCAGCUUGCAAAUGCAUCAAAAGUGCGGCCGCCGGCAUUCCUGGCAUCAACUUUGGCCUUGCAAGCGGACUACCAGGCAAGUGCGGUGUCAACAUCCCUUACAAGAUCAGCCCUAGCACUGACUGCAGCAGGUUCGUAUGAGUUGUUUCAUUGCUUAUGCUUAUUAAUUGCUCAACAUUUAAUGGUGUGUCUUUUGUUGUUUCAUUUGCAGCGUCAAGUGAAAUUUUGGCAUGGAAUGUUCAUCAGCUAGUGGAAGCCAAAAUAAUGAUAGCUACAGAAUAAAAAUGGAUGUUUAAAAUCCAUCCGUAGGGAUAGCAGAGGAGUUAUCCUAAUUUUAGAGUUGUGCGUUGUGUACUAGGUCGGUUUUUGCGACUAUGUAAUACUAUCUUUAUCUACAAAUUAAUAUCACUCAUUAUUUUGUGUUUCUUCUAUAUGAUAUUUAUCUAUAUACCCUUCUCUCAAGCAUUUUAUAUCAACAUUCACGUGGUCUAAUAAUAAUGAAAAUCAUGAUUACUCAACCCUAAGUUUAAUUAAAUCAAUUUAUGCACCGGUUCUGUUCUUUAGUUGCAUGUACCGGAUGCAAUUCCCAUUGCAAUCUGUUUUGUAAUUGAAAGGUUAUACAACUUGCUAUAUAUAUCGACAUAUUUUUAAUUGAAAAAUUUUGGGCUCAUUCUUAAUUUACUUUAAAUCUUUAAAGUGGACUACUCCUUUGGAGACAUUUCUUUUUAAAUGAAAAUAUUAGAAAUACAAUUAAGAGAGAUUAUUCAUCUGAUCAUGUUGAAACACGGAUCAAAGUUCAAAGUUCAUGAUCAUUACGCACAAAACGUUUUAUGAAGAUUAACUGAUUAAACGAGAUUAUUAUUUGAUCCACUUGAACUUGCCUGACUCGUGGAACACAUGGAAAAGUCUAUCUACUUAAACCUUUGGAGGUUCAGUGAAACUCUCCAGUAAAAUUAGAGUUACCAGAGUAAUUAAUGUAAAGCCUAAGGGAUAAAAAUGUAUAGAGUUUAAAUCUCAUAGGACUCUCAUCUUAUAAAUAAGUACUAAUAUCAGUCGUCGAUAUAAUUUAAUCUGUAUCAUUGGAUCUAGGGGAGCUCAACUAUAAAUAGAGACCUCCUUCAUUUGUAAUCAUCUCAUUGUACUCAUGAACAAAGCCAAAAAUAUUUUUUUGGGAUAGAAUUAAAUUAUAUAUUUUUACAAUAGUAAAAAUACAAUUUCACUAAUUUAAUAGUUAUCUUUAUAAUUUUUAAAGAAUUAAAUCAAAUUUUUAUGAUGGGGAAAGUGAAAUUUUACCAUUAUUAAUUUUAAAUUUUAUAAAUUAUAAAGGGAUAUAAAUGAAAUUUUUUCUAUUUUAGAAGGGAGGUCCCUACCAGCCCUCUUAGUUUCACCACUAAUUGUACUUCAUUCCUUCUUGAGUUAAAGAAUUUAUUAAGAGUAUUUACUCAAACACCUUGUAUACAUCGUUUUCUUAUAUCUUUUCAAUUCUCUUAUUGCUCUUUCAUUUUAAGUUACUUCCACAAUAUUUUUUGCUAACAUAGAGAAUUUUUAGGAAAAUUAUCACUUUUCGAGGGUUAGGUUGACUUAGGCAAAUUUAACGAAAAGAAAUCACUUAAAACCACACGAUUUAUUUAAAUUCUAAUCCCAUAACAGUAAAGUUUUGAUAUUUGAGUAACUCAACAUUUAUGUUUCAUGAAAAUAAAAAUAAUGAGAUUCACUCCUUACAAUAAAAUUUCUAUGUUGCACCUAAUUUACCAUUCACAAUAUGAUACUCAUAAUUAAGAUUAAUACAAUACAUGGGUUUGUCAUAAUGUAAUCUGAAAUAAGAAAGUAACAUUUUUUAAAUAAAUAUAAUUAGAAUCUAUUUUAUUAGUUCUGAAUUUUCAAAGUUUAUAUUAGUUUAAAACGGUUUUAAUAAUUCUUAGUUACAUAUCGCUGAUUAAACUUUUAAAUUUAAAUUCAACCGAUUCAUCUAAUAUAAUUCUAACAACAUUAAUAUAUAAUUUUUGUAUUUUUAUAAACACAUAAUUCUAAAUAUAUAAAUUCUUAAGUUGGUGAAUUGUUUAUUUUACACUAAUUUUAUAAUAAACUAUAUGCUAAUGAGAUAAUUUAUUUUACUAAAUUAUCAUUAAUGCUCCCUGAUUAGGAAUGUGCAUACAAAUUUGAAUAUCGCUGAAGAGAUAGCGAUUGUUUGUAAUAGAGAUUUAUCGUAUAAGUCUCAUCAUAAUUUCAUUAUCUUAGAAUCUAAACACAUUUUAUACAAAAAUGUUAUUUUAAAAUUAAGUGAUGUUUUGGUUGAAAUAAUUAAGUCAAAAUUUUAAACUUAAGUUUCAAUUUUAUUAUAGUAUUUUUUUAUUUAAAAAUAUGAAAAGGCAAAAAAUACUCUCUUAUUAAUAUUUUUUUUUAUUUUAUAUUAAAACUAUUUAGUAAAUUCUCAAUAGAGUUAGUAGCCGGUUGACUCGUGACACCAACUCAACUAAGGCUUAAUAUAAGUAUAAAUAGAUGAGUAAAUUUAGAAUAAUUAUUGUUAAUGUAACUGUAAAAAUUUACCAUUACAGUGUAAUGGAUUUUAAAGGGUUGAUUCUAAAAUCUGACUCUAAAUUUUUCAUCGAGCUUUGCUCUAACAACACACUUAGACGAUGGGAUCUCUCCAACAUUCUCGGUGAAAUUAAUUUUUUUGCUACAAGUAACCAACGAGGAAAGGGUGGAGGAGAAGAGUCUCGAUUCACCUAUGAUAGGAUGAGUUAAGGAGGGAGAGAGCGAGAGAGCUACAGUUGUUGUCUAGGUUUUCAGGGGAGAAAGAGUCGAUGCUUGGUUCCUCAUGCACCAGAGCUUACAUAGGGGAUCACCCAUUGUCCUGUAGUGUCGCGUAACUGACAAUGUUGUGUCCUACAAGAUUGUGCGUGCCAGCCAAGUGACAAGGCCGUCAUAGGUCAAUUGUCAUUAUAUAGUGUAUUGUGUGAUCCUACUCUAACAUUCUUGUCUUUGGGGUUGUACGAGACUAUUACGCUUUAGUGGUCCUCACGGAACUGCGUAACGAGCUAUCUCUAGGUAGUUUAGAUAGGGUUCAUGGGAGGUCAUUUGUGAGCAAUCCUAAGCGAAGGAUCGCUACGAAAGGUUCUUAACGAAGAGUCAUACGCAAACUGCUUCCAAUGGAGAGUUGUUUGCAUAUUGCUUCAUGUCUUGCCACGUAUUGAGAUGGAAAUAUAACAAUAACAUUAAAUUUUUUUCACAUGGACUCAGAGAAGCUAAUACAAUCCCAGACGCACUAGUUAAAAUUGGCACCCAUAGGAGUCAUUUAUUUCAUGUAUUUUGGGAUAAAUUUUUGGUGUUGUUGUAUGUGUUUCUUUAUAGCAGUGGUAUGCUAGUACAGCACUUGAACAUGCCUUGCACGGAUACUUUUUAUGAAACUGUAAGUCGACUAAUAAAAACGAAGUUAUGAAUAAACUGUACAUCUAUCUACCCACCUUCUUCCCUACCAUUUAUCCCCCGCCUUACUUUGGAAAAGAUUUAGGAGGGUUUCAGAUUUUACAUUUUAAAUUUUAGAUUUAUAUUUCAAAAUCCAUAAUCAUUUUUUAAAUUUGUGGAUCUACUCUAUUUAGUUGGAAUUUUAAUAAAUCUAGAAAUUUAAUAUAUUUAUGCUAAUAUACGCAUUACAUUCAUUUAAUUUAAAUAUAAAAUGACAUUAAAAUAUACAUGAUCUGAAACAUAUUAUUAUUAGACUUUUAGUCCCACCAUUUGCAAAUGUUAUUUGUGAGUUUAAAUCUCAUCAUGUAUUGGUUCUCUUCAAAAAAUUUUGAUUUAAAUCUAAAUAUAUUUAUGUUAUCAGUUAGUUAUGCUUUGUACUAUAUAUAUUCUAUUUUUAAUUGAUCAAAUAUAUAUUAUUUUUUAUUGCACUAGUAAACUAUUUAAAGAAAAUGUUAUUAUUAUUAUUUCCUUGGCUUUUCUUUUAUUUAUUUGGAACAUUAAAAAAUGAAAGGCUUUUCUUUAACUCCAUAUUCGUAUAACUUUUUUUUUAAAUAUUAUAACUAAUUUUAUAAUGCACACAAAAAUAGACAAAGAAUUUAUAAUUUUUUUUUAAGAAGACAGAAUUUAUAUUUAAUAUAAAAUCAAUCCUCGUUGAAUAGGAUUGCUUAUUACGACACACCUGUAAGCUCAUUAAAAUCAAUUUGGGGUUAGUAGAGAUAUAAAUCAUAUCAUUAAUUAUUUUUUUAUAUUGAGUCGGUGUGAUUUAUGUAAUUUAUUAUUCUAAUUCAUUUUAGGGAAUUUUUUAUGUAUAAAUCUUGUGUUGAAAUCAUAUAAUUUAUCUUACAAUUAUGAAUUUAUCUUUUGACGCGUCGAAAAUUAUUUAUUUGAAGGUUUUAUUAAAAAAUAUUAUUUAUAUUAUUUAAUAUUAUCGUCAAUAACUUUUUAUCCAGUGACUAGAAUAUUAUGAUAUAAAUAUUAGAGUUUAGGUUUGAUGACAAAUAAUUUUAUUCUCCACCCUUAAUUAUCCAAUAUAUAUAUAUUUCAUAUUACUUAAUUUUUUUAAAGUCAAAUUUUAUUAAAGAAUGAAUAUGAAAAAAUUAAAAAUAUUUCUUUUCUAAAAUAAUUUGACAAGCAAUAAAGCAUAAAAAAAAUUCCAUAAACAAUAAUUUCGAAUAAUAAAUUAUAAACUUUUGAUAAAGAUGUACUCAAAUAUCUUAAUAACUAAUAAUAAAAUAUGUAUAUAUUUUUUAAUUUCAUGUUUAAUUUAAAAUUUUUAAAAUAUUUCUUCAUAUUACAAAUGUAAUUUGUCUCCCUUUUUUACAAUAGUUGGAUCACUCUUCAUAAUAUACACAAUAAUAUAUUAUAAAGCAAUUUAUAAACAAUAAUAUAUUAUUUAUAAAAUCUUUUAAAAAUUAAAAAUUAAUUCACACGAUGAAUCUGUGCAUCUAAACAUAUCAACUACUUAAUAAUAUAUUUUGCAUACAAUUUGAUAAUAGUCCAAUUUGAAAAAAUAUAUAUUUUUGUGCUUUCUCAUAAAAUUCUUAAAUAACCCAUAAAAAGAUAUUAUAUGUUUUAAGUGCAUCUGAAUUUUUUCAACUUUAGAGUUAUUACAAAAGCAACAAAACCAAUUAAAUUAAUAUUUGGUUGGUUAAAGUUUAGGCGUUAAUAACUUAUUUUAUAUAGAUAUAAAAACAUUCAUACAUUCGUAUAGUGUUCAUAAUAUUUUUAUGCCAUUUAAUGUAUGAAUUGAUUUUCCAUAUCUUCUUUGUAUUGUUAAUUUUAACACUAUAUUUUUUUACAAAAAUUUAAAUUUUUAUACAUAUAUAAUAUUAAUAUAAAAUUUAAUUUAAUUUUCAAAAAGCUUUGAGCCAACAUAUUCAAAUUAGUCAACAACCUAACAAAACAAGUGGUUGAGGUUGCUUGUUGGCGCUGAUAUAGAUCCGACUAAUGUCAUUCACUACGAAAAUAAUGGAAAAGGCCACCUGUGGGGCCAACUAGGUAGAUAUAUUAUGAAUUGAAUGACAUGUGGCUGGUUGUAAUACCUCAUUGCAUUCAUUGCUUCAUUCACCCCCUAUUGAAAGUGAUAGAUUUUUUCUUUUAGGGAGAUUUAACUUACAAAUUCAUACUCUCUUUUUUUUUUUAUCAUAAGAGGUGUUUAAACUGUUUUUUUUUAAGUUUGGUAUUUCGGUUUAAUCAAAUUAUUAAGUUAAAAAAAUUUUAACCCAUUAAUUAGUAUCUAAGCUACAUAUUUUUUUCAAAUUGAUACCUAAACAUUUUUUUAUCCUACGUGGUACUUAAAUUAUUCUUUCAUUUUCCAUUUAAUACCAAAAUAUUAUAUUCAUUAAAAAAAUCUAAUCAAUAAUAGAUUGACAUGUAAAAUUUUAAAAAAAUAAUUAAUUCUUCUCUUCUCUUCUCUUUUUUUUUCAAUUAUUUCCCUCAUUUUAACUUUUUAUUUUUUUUUUCUUUCUUCUUCCUUUAUAAUGUCUAACAAUGACAACAAAUGCAAUGCUCAAAAUUCGCCCUCGUGAGGUUAAGACUAUGGAAAUUAAUUUUCUUUUCGAACUAUAUCGCUUGUAUGUUAGACCUGACGAGAUCGUAAAAAUUCUUUCAUUGAUCAAAACCAAUUUUUUUUCAGAAUCAGGCUAACAGGUCAUACUUUUGUAGGGGUGAGCGUCUAAUCGAAUCAAAUAGAAAAAUUUCGAUUUAAUCAAGUUGACGAGUCCUAUUUUAUCAUCUUAAAAUGAUUUAAAAUUUUAUCGAAUCGAAUCGAAUAUAUUUGUCUCCAGUUAAUUGAAAAAAAUUCUUUGGAUCCUUGUAGCCACUGUCACUCAUCAUAAUCAAAUUUGUCCAUCGUAAUCAAAUUUGUUAUUAACUUUCAUCCCUUCAUAAUUUAUUUAUUAAUCUUUUAUAUACGGGUUAGCUUCUUUGCUUGCUUAGUUGCUUCAAUUAUCUUUUAAUUCUUGUCACUGUGUAUUUUGAAAUUAAAAAAUAUAUUAAAUGUAAAAAAAUAUUUUUUUAAUAAAAUUUAUUUUAAAGAUAAAAUGUGAAAUUGGUACCAAUAGAAAGUUUUAACACAAAUAUUGUAUGACAUCACCAAUGAUACAAUUUUAACAGAAAUUGAUAAAGAUUCAACAUGAUUAAACAACUUAAUAAUAUAAAUAAUACAAAAUGUGAAAUUUAAUUUAUAAUAUAAAUAAUAGCCAUAAAUAAAAUUAUUACUAUUUAGGUCUAAGGAUUUUUUUUGGAGGAUUUUGAUUUUUGAUUUGGGGAUAAAGGGUGAGAAGUAAAAGUUUUGGGGGAAAAGUAGAAGGGUUUGGGACGGGGUAGGGGUGGGGGUGGGGUUGAGGCUGGGGGAAGGGGAAUAAAAGUUUCGAGGGUAAAGUUUGGAGGUUUGGGGUUGUAACACCCCAAACCCGGCCUAGAUGUUAGGACCAAGCCUGGAAAGCUACAACAAAUCAUUCCAAAAAAUGUCACUUUUAACUAAUUAAAGUUUAAUUGUCAGAAAAUGUUUAAAUAGUUGAACUAAUGUAGAAAUAUAAAUUUGCAAUCUGUAAUUCAAGAUAAACAACUAUAGUAUAAGUUUAAUUAAAGCGGAAAAUUACUAAGUAAGAAUGACUGAGCUCCCGCCACGGCGACCGGCCUAAGUCGAUGAGUUACCAAAAAUUCAGUCAACAGACAAAAUGAGUCGGUAAACACAACAUGUAAAUUAUAUUUUUAUUAAGCAAAACAACAGAACAUAUCUUCAGUUUUUCAAAAUUCGAACAGUUUUCAAAAUCAUAUACGGAAGCAGAACAGAAUAUGUCAGUUACACACCAUCUCCAUCCAACCCUACACACCAAAAAGGUAUGGAAUGCCCAUUCAUCCCUACACACCACAUAGUGACCAUAUGUCAUGUUCAAAAGGUUACAAACUAAAUUCUAGGACAGAAUGUGAAAGUCGCCAAAAUUAGAUACAUUUACGUGGCUUAGCCACCAAUCUUAGUAGAUUAUUUAACUGCCACAACUUCCUCCUUAUUCAAUCCCAACCCCAAUGCAGAUGCAAAGUUACAGAUACAGAUAUAAGCAUAGAUGUUACAGAUUCAGAUUAUACUCAGUUAACACAGAAUACAACUAUUCGCUAGUUUACAAUUCUAUGAUGUAUAUAAAAUAAUAGUUUAUACAGAAACAAAUUACUAGUCAAUGGGUUUUAUAACCCAAAUCGGAUCAUACAAACCCUAAGGUAAGCCUACGUUCGACUGGAACGACGUUUAUAGCCCUAACGAAAAAUUUGAAAUUUUGACCCAUACACUUGUGUGGAUUCACAUGUCUUGGAAGGCUGGCCUAUGUGGCACACGAUCUAUAACAUGGCCUGGCACACGACCAUGUGGCUCAAAAAAAUGAGUUACACAGUCUAGCACAUAGUCAAGCACACGUUCAUGUGACUCAAUUCAUAAAAUUUCCUUCAUAUGGCCUGGACACACGAACGUGUCCUAGCGCGUGUGACUCUAAUCCACAAAUAGUAAGUUACACGACCUAGACACAUGCCCACAUCCUUGGCUUGGUGACCCUAAUACACAAACAGUAAGUUACACGGCUAUAUGAUUAACAACCAUGUGUUCCAGUGUUCGCAAAUCAUAAAAAAAUGCGUUUUCUUUAAACACUUGAUGUAGUUUCGAUGUAGAAGCAACACACAAGAAUUUGGAACCUAAAACGACAAUUAAUUGACCAAUUAAACGACUAAUCAACUCAAAAUUCCAAAAUUAGCACUCAAAACUAACGUACGUCGAAAACUUCGAUGCAACCAACCAAAGCAGAAAUUUUCGCUUAUUGACAAGCGAGCAACAAUAGUUCAGACCUAAUUUCGCAGGAAAACAUUACUUUUGAAACCUUUUCCUAAAAGAAGAUCCAUUAGAACUAUUAACGAGAUUUUACAAUGAUUGGCAGUAAUAUCGAACCUCGACGAAACAGAAAAAGUCUAGCAAAAAAUAGGCAGAAAAAAACAACAGAAAUUACGAAAUAUCCUUGCAAUCAACGUAAAAAACCACACAGAUUUCCCAAUUAAGCACGAUAGCAAACUUACGGAAGCAAUCAAGCAAGAAAGGUGUAAUAGCCCAUUUUUAGUAAAAUCAGAACAGUGGUUUCGGGACCACAAAUCUAGAGUCAAAAAUAUAAUUUUAUUAUUAUUUUAUGGUCUACAUCAUGAUAUUAUUACAGUAUAAAAAUUUUGUUAAGAAAUUUUACCGUUUACAUGUUCAAUUUGAUAAAAAGGACUAAAUCGCGUAAAGUGCAAAAGUAGAGUUUUAAUAGCUAAAGGUAUUAAAUAGCUAUAUAAAUUUAAAUUAGAGGUCCUUAUAUGGUAAUAACCCAUAAAUGUGUUAGUGGAAUGUCAUGGCUUGGUAAACUUGUAAAUUGAAAUAAUUUUAAAGGUCAAAUAAAUAAUUAAGUAAAUAAAGGCAAAAUUUAGUAAAAUAAAGCCAAGUAUAAUCUUUUAUCCUCUUUAUUCAACCGAUUAGCUUAGAAAAAGAAGCCAUUUUUUCUCUUUAUGGUUCGGCAAGCUUGUUUCCAUCAAUUAGGUAUGUGUUUUGUCCCCCCCUUUUUUUAUAAUUUCUAUGUUUCUAGGAUCGUUGUAACUUAAUCUAGCUAGCCUGGGAAUUAAUUUGUGAAAAUGUUAAAGUAUUUGAGUUUUACUAUUGAUGAACAUGUUAGGGUUUUGAAGUUUAAUAGUAUAAAAUAAAUGGUUGUUGUUAGAUAAACAACCUUUUUAAAGGAAUUUUUUAUGAAAUUAUCAAUUAGGGAUUAAAUUAAAAAAUAUGAUAAAUUUGUGGUACAAUUUUGAAUUUGUGAAAUAUAUGGGCAGCUAUAAAUAUGUUUAUAGUUCGGCUAGGCUUGGGUUUGGAUAAAAUCGAAUGAAUUUCAUUUUUCGAGCCUACGGACUAAAUUACAAAGUAUUAAAAGUUACCAUUUUGCCAAAAAUGUAUGCUGGACUAAAUUAAAAAUGAAUUAUAUUGAAUUGAGUUAAAUUAAUUCGUAUAGAUCCGGUUAGACCUCGUAUGGAGUUCUAUUAGGGCAAAGGAAAAAUAUCAGAUUAGUCGCCUUCGUAUCUACGUACACUUGUCGAGGUAAGUUCAUGUAAUUAAAUUGUGUAAUUAUAUGCUUUGAUUGAAUUAGAUGUAUGUUAUUUGCAUUAUCAUCAUAAAUGAAUAUCGAUCGCAUAUCUGAUGACGUACGACGAUUACCGAGCCCCAUUUGAACCUUAAGAAUUAGUAGGAUAUAAAUAACAUGUCAUUAGGGUUAUCGAUUUCAGUUCUUAUGAGCUUACCGAUACUCAGCUCGUAUGAGCUUACUGUUAUUCAGCUCGGAGGAGCUUACUGUUUACAGCUCGUAUAAGCAUACAUGUACAUGAGUUGAUGAAUUACAGUUUAAUACACCUCGUGUGUACUACUACAUAUCCAAUAAUAAUCUAAAUGGUUCAACGUGCACUGUUCUGUUAUGAUAUUACAUGAGUUCAAUACGAACUAAUACAGGUAUUUACAUAAGAUAUAUGAAAAUGAUUUGUACAUGAUAUGUAGAUACAUGAUGUGAAAAUUAUAUGUACAUGGAAAUUUGAUAAUUGUUGAGCUCAUACAUGUUUCUUGAUAUUUAUAUGAAUUACAUGACUAAAAUGGUUGAUCAAGAUAUGUGUUUAGGCUUCUAUCCAAAUUGAGUUUGGAUAUGUUUUGUAUGCUUACCUUAAAUGUGACUAAAUGGUAAGUUAAAUUCUAUGUUAUACGAACUUACUAAGCUUAAAUGCUUACUCUGUGUUAUUUUUCGUGUUUUUAGUGAUUCAGAAGCUCGUUCGGGUUGGAAGCUUGUCGGAGCUAUAUCACACUAUCCAUUGGCUCUUUUGGUACACUCAAUUGUUUAAUUUCAGUUAUAAUGGCAUGUAUAUGUUAAUUUGGCCAAUGUUGGCUUAUAUGUGUUUUGUUGAGAUUAGCCAUUUGUUUGGUUUGUGUUAUAGAAUUUUAGAUAUGUUCAUAUUUUGCUUAUUAUAGUUGACGUGUAGUUUGGUUCAUGAUUGAAUAAAGAGUGGUAAAAAGGUAGCCUAAUGUGCAUUUCAUAUAUGUGUUUUGGAAUGUGAAGAAUUGAUCAUGAAUUAGUGUCUGGAUAUGUAAGGCAUAUAAGUUAAAUAUGUUAGUAUGUGAAAUACAAUUUGGCAUCAAAUGAUGUGUUUUGGAAGGCAAGUAAUUUGGUAAGAAAUGAUGUAAAUCUGCUUAAUAAACUUUGGAUGCAAAUAUGCAUAUAAGUGAGUUAAACAUUUGGAUAUAAUGAAUACAUGAAAAUUCUUAUUAUAAGUUGUCAUUUGAGGUGCCUAAGGGCAUAUUGGUUGUAUGUAAUAAUAUUACAUGUUUUAAGCUUGAUUUUGGCUGGUUUUGGAUGCCUAUUUAUGACUUGGUUAUAUGCAAAAUGUUGUGUUUAGGUUGGUACCAAGUUGGGUGAGAAAUGUGGCUUGGAAAAUGACCUAUUUUCAUACACAUGGGUAGAGACACGGGCGUGUGUCUCAACCGUGUAGGUGAUAUGGCCGUGUGUCCCCUGUAUCUUUUAAAGAAUGCAAGUUAGUAUGCUCACACGGCCUGGCACAUAGGCGUGUGGCUUGGCCGCGUAACCCAAGUCAGUGAGUUACACGGGCAUGGACACAGGCUGGGACACGGUCUUAUGUCCCUAUUUCGAAUACCCACACAACCUAAGACACGGGCGUGUCUUUUGGCCGUGUGAGUCACACAGCCUGGCCACACGGCCAUGUGACCCCUGCAGUUUUGAAAUUUUUAUAAGUUUCUGAAAACUUCUCUGAAUUUUUUAUUUAGUCCCGAAUUAUUUCUAAGGUGUAUUUUGGGUCUCGAGGACUUGUAUUAGGGACAAUAUGCAUUAUUAUGAUUGGUUUCUGACAUGAAUACUAUAUGUUAUGAAAUGUUUGAAUUUUCUGUCCAUUUAAAUUGUAAACUUCGGUAAUACUCCUAACCCUAUUCCAGCGACGGAUUCGAGUUAGGGAUGUUACAAAAGGAGAAAAAGAAAAAAUAAGGAAAAGAAUUGUAAGGAAGGAGAAGAACAAAAAAUAAAAAUAAAAAAACUAAAAAUAAGUUUUAAACAAAAACAAUUAUUAAAAUAAAAUUGAUUUCCCGAUAGCACACCAAAAUAUUUCCUUAUUUCUUAUGCAGAGACUCAAACAUGAGACCUUAGGUAAUAUAAAACUUAAUCAUUAAACCAGAUGACUCAUUCUUGACACAAAUUAAUGUAGACACAAACUUAAGUCAAACAUUCAAGAAUAAGAGUUGAAACAAAAGAAUAAUAAAAUUCUCUAAAAGUACGACUUGAACCCUCGAUCCAAAAACCAACACAUAUAACUUAACCACUGAAGCAGAUACUUGCUUAUAAAUAGACACUAAUAGUAACAAUUCAAAAUUUGGGGCGUUACAGGGGCAGACAAAGAGGAAAGAGUAAAUUUUUGGGGGAAAAGUAAAAAUGUUUGGGGUUUGGGUUUUGAGGUAAAAUGUAAAAUAUUAUAGUUUGGUAUUCGGCUUAAUCGAAUUAUUCGGGUUAUUUGAAUUCAAAAACUCAACUUGACUCGAACUUGAAAUUAAAAAAAAUCUAGUUGAUUUGAUUAAUUCGAUUAGAAUAAUUCAAAAUUCGAGCUUUUUUCAAUUUUUUCGAGUCUAUUCAAAUUUUGCUCACCCUUAAUACUGGGAACCAAUUAGGAUACUAGUUUGGAGAUAGGGCUUGAACCAAUUAACCUGCAAACUGAUACAGAUUUAUUGAGCCGAGCUAAAAAAAAACUAGUUGAACUAGUUUUCUCUAUUUUUUAUUUUUAUCUUUAUGAAUUUUUAAUAAUUGAUUUCAUCAAACUGGAUAAAUUGAUUAAACCAGUAACUAAUGAUCUAGCUAGUUUGAAUAUGGUAAUUUUUAAUUGGUUAUCAUUUUUUAAAUAGACUUAACGAUUUGAGUAAAAUUUAAACUAACAAAUGUAUCAAUUUGAGAAAAAAUAAAUUAAGUACCACAUGUGACAAAAAUGUUUAAGUAUCAAAAUAAAAAAAAUAUAAUUUAAAUACAAAUUUGUAGAUUAAGGUUUCUUUUAACAAACUUAACGGAUUAAGGAAAUUAUCAAUUUGAGAAAAAAAAUAAUUUCGAUAACAGUCGCUGGUGACAAAAAAGGAAUUAACUACCAAAAUGAGAGAAAAGGGAAAAGAUUGAUAUAAUGUGAAUUGAAUGACAUGUGGCUGGUUGUAAUACCCAACAAGCUUUAACAGGUGUCACUGAUUAAAAUUAUAUCAUAUGUAUUCUAUCAAAAAUAUAUUAUGUAAAAUUACAAUUUUUAAAUUUAAUAAAAAAAUAUAUUAAAAAUUUUAACUCCGGCCAAAACGUGAAAUAAAUCGUUUUUUAACAGUGUUUUGGAAAAAAAAAUUAGGGUUAAGUACCGAAAUGAUCACUAGAGUAUUACUUGUGUUUUAUUUUGAUUACUAAAUUUUUAAUUAUUUUUAUUUUAGUCACUAAACUAUAUGAAAUCAAAUAUUUUUGUCACUAAAUGUUAAUGACCGUUUGAAAAUUUUUCGAAAGUGUUGAAAUGUGUUAUUUUUUAUUUGUCUAAUAAAAAAUUUAAUCUUCUUUACACAUUCUAUCAAUUUGAUUCUAAAUAUAAAAAAUCAAUAAAUUUAACACCAAAUGUUUACAAAAUUUGUCACUUUAGUUCAAAUUCUAAAAAACAAAAUUAAUAAAUUUAGCUCUUAACAUUUACAAAAUGAAAAUUUUUAAUUUUUAAAAAUUUUGUAAAUUAAAAAGAAAAACAAGUGUAAUAAUUGUAAAAAUUAUUAACAAUUAAAAAAAUCCAUAAAGCCGUUAGCUACCUCAUAGUCAGUGCCAUUUAAAAACAUGCUUAGCCAUAAUAGUACAAGAAUUAAUGAAAAAGUAGAGUAAAAUUCAAAACAAUCAAUCUUAUCGAUAUACUUUUUCAAGGCUUUUAAUGUAAACUAAAAAUUCUUGUCCCAUCUUGUUCUUCUUCUUUUUUCUACAUUGGUUUAAAUUAUUAUUUGCUAUUAAGACAUUGUCAAUUUCAGUAUUUGUCUCAUUGCUUGAUCUUCACAAGAAAUUCUAGAAACAUAGUAUUGUGUUUUUGAGAAACCGUGAACCUUGUUUUGUUAAUCUAGGUUUACACCAAAUUUCAUUAUUGUACUCUACUUGUGAUUUAUUUGUGAUUCUUUUUUCAAUUUCUUGUAUUUGAAAAUAGAGUAUUAGUGAUUUUUUAGUACUGCUGCUAGUUAUGUAUGAAGUUGCUCAAAUUUAUGUGUUUAGCCAAAGGGUAGGGGAAUCAAUGCAUCCGCUACACUUACUUUCAAUGUUUCGCCUUGUCUUGGGGUUAAACUAAAGUUGAAGUCUCAUUUUAAAGUUGAGAGAUUAGAUCGUGGUGAUGAUAAUUAUUUCUUUUUUUUUUUUAAGUUUAUUUAGGUUUGUGUGUUGAGUUUUUUAAAAAAAAAUUUACAAACUUUUAAAAAUCAAAUCUUGUCAUUUUGUAAAUGUUGAUAGUUAAAUUUAUUGAAUUCUUUUAGAAUUUGAAUUAAAAUGAAAAAUUUUGUAAACAUUGAGGGCUAAUUUUGUUGAAUUUUUUUAUAUUGAAGACCAAAUUGAUAGAAUAUAUAAAUAUUAAAAAACUAAAUUUAUUAUUAGACCAAUAAAAAAAAACCAAUUCCACACUUCUUUUAAAUUUCAAACUGCUCUUAACAUUGAGUGAAGAAAAUAUUUAGUUUUAUAUUAUUACCAAAAUAAAUAAAAAUAAAAAUUCAAUCAACCAAAUAAUCUAUAAAUAGAUUUAGAAUGUUGCAUGAUAUAUAUAUUAAAAAAAAGAAAAAAAAACGAUGCAUGUGCCCUAAUGUUGUGAAGUUUUUUUUUUCAUUGAAAAUAACAAAAUAACUAUUUGUUUAUAUUUUAUAUUAGUUCUAUGGCAUACCGCGUGGAAAAGGAAAAUUCAUGUAAAUAAUAUAUUUAUAAAAAUUUAUAUUAAAACUAAAUGAGAUUUUAGUUGAAAUAGUUAAGUUAAAAAGUGUAAAAUUUAUGAGCUAUAAGUUUAAAUCCUAUUGUAGUGUUAUUUAUAAAAAAAAUGAGAAAAGAUAAAAAUACCUUUAUAUUAAUAUUUGUUAUAUUAUAAAAUAAGGAUAUUUUUAACAAAUUUUCAAUUGAAUAGAUGUUUGGGUGAAUCCUAAUACCAAUUAAAGUAUAUAUACACAAACAAUUAUAAAUCAAAUUACUUUUAAUAAAAUGCUAUCAUUCAAUUCAAUGACAAUAAAUGCAUUUAUAAAUACAUCAAAUGUAAAUCUCAUGUUUAUAAGAAAACACGUAGAAAAAAAGUUAAACCAAUAUUUGAGUCCUAGCUGUGGAGGCAUGAUUGAGUGAAAUCAAAUGGACGCUGGUUUUAAUUCUAUUGAAAGAAACCAAUAAUCACGUAGGUUGGCAGUUGAACAUAAUUGAAUGGUCUCAACUUUUAAUGUGGUGUUAAUGUUUGGAUCGGAUAAUCUCAACUUACCUAAUAGCUAGGAAAGUAAAAUUCAAACAUCACCCGCUACUACUUUUGGCUAUAAAAACCCUCCUACCCUCAAGCCCUAACCACGACAAUCACCAAUAGUACUACUACUCCAAGCAAGUAUUUUCCUUACACGUUUGUUUUUCUUGUGAUUAAUCGAUAUGGCUAGCUCAAUGUCCCUUAAACUUGCAUGUGUGGUGGUGUUGUGCAUGGUAGUGGGUGCACCCCUGGCUCAAGGGGCCGUAACCUGUGGUCAAGUCACAAACUCCCUCGCACCCUGCAUUAAUUACUUGAGAGGGAGUGGUGCUGGUGCCGUUCCCCCAGGUUGCUGCAGCGGCAUCAAAUCUCUCAACUCCGCCGCCCAAACAACACCAGACCGGCAAGCAGCUUGCAGAUGCAUCAAAAGUGCGGCCGCCGGCAUUACUGGCAUCAACUUUGGCCUUGCAAGCGGACUCCCAGGCAAGUGCGGUGUCAACAUCCCUUACAAGAUCAGCCCUAGCACUGACUGCAACAGGUUCGUAUGAGUUGUUUCAUUGCUUAUGCUUAUUAAUUGCUCAACAUUUA
rnacentral:lncRNA from 1 species